UUUUUUUUUUUUUUGUCUUUGUCCAUCCAAGAAAAUUGUAAACCCAUCAAAAAUUGAAAACAAAUAUAUUAAUUUUUUCGAUGAUGACCAUUGCAAUUAAGAAAAUUCAUCCCUUGAUGGGUCUGUCCAUCAAGAAAACCUAACUAACUUGAAAGAUACUGCUAGACAACUAAUAUAUUAUUCUUGAUGUUUAUUGUCUAUUGAGAAAUAGUUUUCUCGACAUUUGUGAACCAUCAACAAAAUUGAGAAAACUUUGCCUAUCAAGGAAAUCAAGAAUCCACAUUUUUUCUUACGUUUUUUCGUAUUUCUUCGACAAAAUAAGGAGACUUUUCUUGACGUACAUACCCGUCAAGAUAAACAUUGUAUUAAGAAACAUACUUUUCUUGAUAUCCCUUUGCCAUGACCAUCAAACAAUCAAAAUUUGCGUGCAUCGAGAAAGACUAAAUUUGUAGUAGGUCCUCUCUUUUCAAAUUUACUAUUGAUGUCACGUGAAAGGUUAUGUAUAUUUUAUCUUCACCACACCUUGGUAUCAACCCAAACUAUUGACCUCAACUUUUGUAAGAAGGGAAAAGAAACUAAGGUAGCCAGCUUUUCAAUGUAUAAGCAUGUCCCAAUAAUCUUGAAAAACAUAUUCACCCUUUACAUUGGUCAAGUAAACUCCAUCCUGUCUUGCACUCCAAGAACAAGUUAAAUUGCCACAAAAAUUAUUCAAGAAAUUGUGAUUAGUUUUAAAAGAAUCAAAUUCCAAUAAUCCGUUCUCCCAUUCCAAUAUGCAACGAAAUUUAGUAGUUUCAAAAUCGUUAUCUUGGAACGACCAAUCUUGUAGCUCACCUGGAAAAAGUAUAUGCAACCCUAAAUCGUUAUCUUUCGAGAAGCAAUGACUGUCUAACAAGUACAUUUCCAAGUCGUUGUGAAUUUCGAUUUGAUAAUGGUGAAGUUGAAUGAUGGAUGAUUUUUGUGGUGCAAACGAGAAUCUGGCCAUCGACAUGUCGAAUAAGACAAUGAGGAAGAGAAAUAUCAAUAAGACGAGUAGAUGUGGUGCCAUUGUUGAUGUGUAGGAGAAGAAUCCUUGUAUGUCUAUUUAUAAGGUUAUUAUUUUUGUGCUUUUUUUUCACUUUGAAAUAGGAAGAGUUUAGUUGAUUAUUUUAGGAAAUUAGAGGCCUUUAUUUUGUUAUUUGUUUUAAUUUAUAUGUAGGUUGUUUUAAGUGUAUGAGAUCCAUUUAGUAAGAGAAGAAUAUUUGUUGGAGGUUUUGUUUUGUUAUGUGUGGAGCUUGGAGAGGAUAAAGAUGGUGAAUUAAUAAUGUGAAAGAAUGGUGGCCAUUACAUUAUAAAUAGUUUUCUUCCUAUUCAUUAGAAAUAAUUAAAUUAUAAAUAUAGUUUCUAAAAUUUUGAAGUUUGUCUAUUUGGUUAUUCAACUUUUAAAAUUACAAAUUUUGAUCUUAUACUCCAAUUUUUUUAAAAAACACAAGUGAAUGACUUGUUACAUUACACAUGCAAUACACAUAUAUCUAAUAAAUCAAUUAAUUUUUAAAAUUUUGAACUUUUCACGAAUUUAUUAGCCAAAAAAUUUAUAGUUCAAUGAUUUAUUAAAUACAAAAUUAAAGUUCAAAUGUCGUUUCUAUUAAACGCUUUUAUUUGUUUAUAAAUCAAAUUAUAAAUAUUAAAUUCAAAGUUUAGUACUCAAUUUGUAAUUUAAGGAUGAACAAACAACAUUUUCACAUGCAAGGUCAUCGUGCAAAUAUUAACCAACAUAGUUACAAAGUUAAAUUUCAAUACGAGCAUAUAGUUCAAAUACGUACAUUGCCUUUCCCUUUACAAAGUCGACCAAAAAAAUGCUACUUGAAUGUUUUUGGCAUGCAACCCUAAAUAAAGAAUUGCAAAAAGAUGGUGAUGAGACUUUGUCAUCUACCAAAGAAUUUCUAUUGAUGGAAAAUUUCUAAACUUCAAUUGUCAAAAACUUACUUAAAUAACCUAAAGCAAGGCUUAAAUAGCCUCCCAAUAAAAAACCAAAUGAUUUGAUGUGAUGUGGUUCAGUCUCUAGAAUUUGAUUCUCUGAUUCAAUUUCGAUUGAAUGCUUAUGCUUGAUUUGAGGAAGUGGAACACGUGAUGUUCUUGAAGUUUGAGUCUUGGAAGAAAGUUUAUAUUUUGAAAGAAGCUUCAAUCUUCAAGGACGAUUGACUUUAAGAGUUAGGGAGUCUUCUAGCUCUUGAGAGAAUUCUCACUAGAUAUUCUAGAGUAAAAAAUUUUCAACCCUUACAAAUGAUUGUCCACAAAUCCUAAGAUUACAUCUUGUUUCUUAAGUCCUACUGAUUCACUAUUGAACAAUUGGUUUUAGGUCCAACCUAUAAACCAAAUAUCUCUCAGGCUAGUGAGAGGGUAAGACUCCUUGUUCAAGACUUGGAUCUAAUCUUUAAGGGAACAACCUAUCUACUAACCCUAAAGCGGGUAAGAGUGAAUUUCAUCUUGCACACCCGAUGUCCAUAACCAUCAACCGGUCUCUACCCCUAAAGUGGUAGGGCUUAUUAGGCUAGCAAUGUUGAGCUAUCCUCACCUAUGCAGAUAUAAGUAUAAUUUCAUUUAAAGAGAAGUUCAUAGUUAGCUCAAGAUUAAGAUUAUGUUACCUAGGUCAUAAUAAUUGAAAUAGACAGUUUUAUAUAAUCAAUGUACGGUGUUAUAACUUAAAAAUGACUAUUUCAUGGUUUUAGUCUUAUGUAAACUCUUUACAUAGAAUGUCCCCACUUUCAUAUCUCUACAUGAACGAUUAGGGAUCACAUUAUUUGCAUUAACUACAAAGUGGGUUACAUCCAUAGUGUUCUUAGAAGAAGGCACCCAAACUUAUUCAUACACUAUAGACCGUUUGGGCUAUAUACUCGAACUUGAUCCACAUUUAUGUUUACAUAAACUUCAAGUCUACACUAGAUAGUCUCGGGAUCUUAGUUUAUUGAAUUUAAGAUUAUAGUAUUCUAUUUUCACUAUUAAGUCCUCAAUAACCACUUUAUUAUAUAGAAUAUAAUAUGAUUUUGUAAACUAUGAGUUUUAGGACAAAAAUUCCAACACAAUUAUCAACAUAAACCCAUAUAUAACACUUAGAGCUAGAAAGUCAAGAGUUUAACAUCAUUAGUGAAGAAAGAGAGGGAGAAGAGUACCCACCCUUGAUGAUUCCCUUUCUUCACGUUUUCCUAUCCCCAAUACUUCUUUAACCAUAAUGAACUUCUCAACGAACAAGGACACAACCAUAGAUGUAUGGGCUUUAGCACCUUGAUAGAGGAAGAAAGAUAGAGAAAAUUUCUUGAAAGAGUAUGAGUAGGGGUGUACAUAAUUCAGGUUGAGCUGGGAAUUGGAGGAAAAAUAUGGACCAACUAGAAGUAUAUGGGUUGGCAAAAAAUGAACCUUAUCGAUUUCAUGUGCAAGUGUCCACCCAACCCAAACAAUUCGGGUUGGGACAAUUGGGUUGGCGAGUUACUCUUUUUUUUUUUCUUUAAUUCAUAGGGAAUUUCAUAAUCUUAGUCGAUCAAUAUCUGUUCGACGUGAUGUUUUGGGUUAGAUACUAAGAUUAUCACUCAUGGCUAAAUUGAAUUCAGAAACCCAAUUUCAAGCCAAAACAAAAACUUAAAUCAAAGUAUUGCUUCAUGUGUUUUCCAGUAGAAAAAAAAUGGACAAAAUCACACGAAAGUGUAGUGUAAACAAAUCUGAUAAUCUACAAGUUCAAUGAAAUUCCCAAAUUGAAUAAACAACAUAAAAUAUGAUUGAAUACAAACAGUAACAAAUUCAAUCGAAGUUAAAGAAAAUUGCAUACGAAAUUUCAAUAGAAGAAAUUAUUUCAUUGAACGAAUUAAGUACCUUAUUAGAAGGUAUAACCGAAGCUAAGACCAAACAGAAGGCAGAUCCACAAAUUCUAAAUCCUAACAAGAUCUUCCACAAUUUCUCUUAAUCCCUCUUAAUGUUCUUAAUCAACAAACUCUCCAAUAACUUCCAUCUUCGCCUAACCUUACUCUCUAACAUCGUCAUUGAAAGGAUAAAAGCACUAUGACAGUGGAAGAAUUUAAAAAACCGUUACUCAAAUUAAUUUGGAAAUCUUAAAAUACUAGUACAUUGGCAAAAAUUUAGAACUAAAAUUCUAAACAAAAACUAAGCAUGCUUUUAAAUUAAAAGAUACGGAUAACUUACUUUCAAUGACGUUUUCUAUCAUCUGGGAUGAGAUUGGUUUGUGGGAACCAAUUGGGAUGAAAAAAGAUUUAGAGAUAUUUGAGAGAAACUCAUCUUUUUGCUUUCAUGAAUUUGAAUAAAUAUCUCUCCAAUAUCUUAUAGAUUUAUAUUAAUGUAAUUAAUUAAAUAUGAUUUAAUUAAUAUUUCAUUCCAAUCUUAUAUGAAUGAAUAUCUAUGCAAUAUCUUAUCAUUUUAAUUAAAUAAAACUAAACUAUUAUUAAUUCUCUAAUUAAUUAAUGGCUAAAUUAAAUAUCUUAUAUUAAAUUUGAAUCAUAUUCAAAUAUAAGUUUCUCAUAAUUAAUUUUAAUAUGAAUCAAAUUCACAUUAAAUUAAUAUUUGAACUCAUUCAAAUAUUUUAUCUCUCAUAAUUUAAUUUUGAAUCAUAUCCAAAAUUAAACUUAUAUAAUAAAGUUAGAUAAAGUUUAUAUUAUAAUGUAUCACUCUAUAUUAUACUAAUUCUCAAAGUAAAUAGAUCUUAUUACCCUUUACGAGCUAGGAAGGGAACCUAAUGGACCUAAAAUAAGCACAUGAAUAUCCUCUUUGUCACUAAAUCCACACAUUUAGCUAUUUCUUUUGCAACAUAUUUUGAUCCAAACACAUAAUCCUAUUAGAUUAUUCAAAUCACCAUUCCAAUUACAAGGUAACAUAUUAACAUCAAUAUAAAUAUAUAUAGAAUAUUACACUUAUGUGUGAUUACAUUUAUUUAAUGUGAGUUAUUCUUUUGGCUUUUGUUUAGAUUUUUCAUUAUUAUUACUAUUAUUAUUAAUAUAUAUAAACUUGCAACCAACUUAAUGAAUCAAAUGCAAAGGUUAGAUUUCAUUUCACAUGUCGACAUGUUCAAACAGUUCAAUAUGGACGGAAUGUGAUCUUUUGAUAUUUUAAUUUUACAUUUUUAUAGGCUAAUUUGGAUGUUUGUAUUAACCAUCAAUUAAUUAAUUUAAAAUAAUAAUGAUGUAAACUAUUUUGGUUACAUUUUUAAAUUAAUUAUUUAGGGAGAAGUAAAGUAAAGUUUUUAAAGGAUUUAUGGGCUGCCAAUUUGGAUAACCCAUAUGGUGAUUGAGCUUGAUGUUUACUUCCAACAACCAAUUCGACAAUUCAAACAUACCUUAAUUCAAGUUUUUUUUCUCUAUAUAUUCAAAUAAGAUCAAUACAUAGAAAACAAACCUUUUAUUUUUAUUUGUAAAAUAUGAUAUUUAACGUCAUAUCAAUACUUCAAAAGUACUCCAUGAUAAACAAAUCAACACCUAAACACAGACUUCUUAAAUGAACUUAUGAUAAAAUAAUCAAACUCUCGAAACAUAAGCUUCACGGAUGAUAACACCAAAAAUAUGAUAUCUAACCUCUCUUAAUUCGAGAUUCUUCUAGAACUUUAUGUUUCUAUUUGGUUAUUUUACAAGUUUGAACACAUUAAGGGUAGAGUCGGACUAUAAUAACAAAAUGGAACUAAAAUGGACAAGAACUGUGUCUAAUUCCAUCGAUCGAGGUCAAAGCAUCAAAUAACGUACAAUUUUGUCUCUACCAGCUUGCACCGUUGCACCGUUCAAAGGCAUAAUGCCUCCUUUGCCCGAAAGACACACAACACUGUGAUGCUUUGAAAACAAUUCGCACGAUCUUUUCGUCGAGCAUGUGAAUCAUCGUGACACUGUCCCUAGCAUCGUAGAUCCAUCUCGAUGUUAUAAUUAAAGCAAUGUUUUGCCACCUAGGUUGGAGAAAAUUCGUCCCAGCCAGCUCUUAACACGAUUCCUUAUAUUUUUCCACUAUUUUGGUUUGUUCAUGUAUCAAUUCAAUUCCUUGGUGUUCGUUAUGAAUAUUAUGGGCUAAAAUAUUGUAUUUUGGCUUGGGUGUUUAUGUCUCUUUCUCCAUUUCGAUCUAUGUUUUAGGUUUCGUAUUUAACUUUAUGUUGUAUUGUUGAUUUAGUUUUGUUUUCGAUAGAUUUUGAUUAUAGUAUCAGAUGUAUAGAAAUUUUAUGACCACUGCUUUGAUUAACUUAUGAUUUGUGAUUGAUUGUAUGUUAAUUACAAGAAGUGUGAAGUUAUGUUGGCUUGCAAAUCGAAUUAGAUGAGUAUUGAUCUAACUAACUUAGGAUUGAAUAGAUCAAAAUAUUUAGUUAGACGUUUAAAAGUUAAUUAGUUCAUUUAGUGUGCCCUAAAUCUUAAUGCAAUUAGGAUAAUUCGUUUACAUACGCAUGUUUUUCAUCUUGUUCGGUUGAACUAAUUAGUUAGAUUAGUUUUUCUGAUUAAGUUGGUUGAGUGUAAGAAAUAAAUCACGGUGGUUAGAAUUAUAUGAUCAACUACAUUGAACUGGAAGGAUUUGUCACAACCCAAACUACACUUUUUUUAAAAAAAUUGAUUCACAACCUUUACCUUUACCUUUUUGUUUUCUUGCAAUUUCAUUUAUUGCUAAUUCAUCACCAAACCCUCCUCCGAUUUCAUUGGUUACUCUCGAGAUGUGAGCUAUUUAUUUGAGAAACUAACACACUUCUUGUGUUCAAAUCGAUUUUACCACUAAGAUUGGUGCUUGUGUGGUAGAUUCAGUUUGGUAUUUGACUUGAGUUUAGGCAAUGAAAUUCGCCUAACCAUAUAUUAGACUUUAGAACUCAAAUUAAAAAAUACUUUGCAACCCCUCAAACAUACCCUUUCAACUCCAUAAACUAUAAUAACCAACUUUGCACUCAAAUAGUUGGCCCUUUAAAAUAUAAGUUAACUUGAAGUAGGAGAAAUUAAUCAAAUAGAAAAUGAACUCAAAACUCAAAUGGUAAAGGUAUAACAUUUUCAAGUUUAGAAACCAAAAUAUCAACUAAACCUGAAACUCAUAAAUAAAAGUAUAUUAAUUACUUUUGAAUGUCAGGACACCAAAAUCUACUGCAUAAACAAAUGUGUACAGUAUAGUUUCAUAAAUAUUUUCUGUACACAUGUAUAGAUCAUAUAUAAAUACCCAAAAUAGAACAACCUCAUAAUUGUAAGAGAAGUAAAAUAAUGAUAAUGAUGAGGACAACAACACAAUAAGAAUAAAAACAAUUAAACCAAUGAGAAUCUUCAUCUUCCUCAUUUGAAAAAGAUAAGAUGAGAUGUGUUCCUAUCUCCAUAGGUUUUUUGGGUGGCUACUCUAUUUUACAAAAUUAGCUACAACUCCUCAAACUAUCUUUCCUAUCUACUAUGCCCAAUGAGCUGUCUCUUAAAAGUAUAUACCAUUAUAUACUCAACUAUUACCAAUCGCUUCCUUUGAGCGGUGGAAACAAGUUACAACUUCACACAACUAACCAAAUGUCAUUCCAGUUAUUCAAUAUAUGAACUCUACCGCAAACAAAUAGAUUUCGUUCUAUAAGAAAAGCACCUUAUCUAGUAAAAAAAGAAAAAUCUUAUAUUGAGAAGGACAGAGAUCUUAAAAUUGAAUAUAUUUGUGAGGUGACAAAUGUAAGAAUCCAAGUUAUUUUCGAUAAAACAAUAAUAUACAAAGUUAAAAUAAAUAUAUAAUUCUUGUUUUUAUGAAAAAAAGAUUGUAUUAAGCUUUGACACACUCAUUAAGAAGGGUACAAGUAGAGAACAAUAACAAUAUGUGAAUUUCUCCAACAAAUUAGAUUGUUAGAAAUGUAUGAGAAUUAAUAAAAACCAGAGCAAGAAGAAUAAAGAUUUAAGGCCAAUUAAAAUCAAGAAAUCUAUCCACCGCCACACAAUUUGGUGAGAAAUAAUCGACAUCAUAUAUAUACAACACACUUUUCAUUAUGUCAAAUACAUAACUCCUCAAACCCUAUUCAAAUCUAUCUUCAAAUUUUGGAUGAGGUAGAAAAAGUUGCACAUGUAAGGUAGAAAAAACAAAAACAAACAUUCAAGCUCAAGUAAAAAUUCAUAUAACUUGACAUAGAAAAAGAAACAAAACAAAAAGGGUUUAAUGUUAGAAAACUUAAAUUAAUAAUAAGUUUUGGAAACACAUAGAUCCAAAUCUAUAGUUUGCAUGUGCACCAUGAAAAUAAUAUGAAUAUAAAAUUUAGAAAUAAUCGAAAUUGUCGUAAAUUUGACAAAAAUUUGACAAAAAUAAGUUUUAGAAUUAGACUUAUAGUCCAAACUUAUUGUCAGGGUAAAAAUGACAAAAAAUAAAUCAAUCCAUUAAAUAUCAAGAAAAAGUAAUAAUAUACUUAAUAACAUCUAAUACAUAACACUUUGUAUAUAUAUUUGAUAUACUUAUAAUAUACUAUUGAUAUACAUUUGAUAUCUUUCAUAAACUCGAGACACUUCAUACACUAACAAAUGUUAUAUCUAGAAAAAAAAAUAAGACAAAUGUGUUACCCACGUUGAAUGUUAGAUUUUUAAUUUGUCAUUGGCUGUAAUUUUUUCAUGGACGGAUCCAUGCACAUAGGGGCCACGGGCAUAUCAUAUGUCUCCCCAACUUAAUUAUUAGUUUUUGUAUAUUUAACAUAAAUUUUAAGUACUUAUUUAACAUAAUUAAAUAUAUACAAAAUCAAGUUAUUAAAAUAUCAAGGUGAGUAGAGGUAGAGGAGCACACCGUGAACGCAUUCGUCGUGGCUUCAAAUUCUUUCCCAUAAAUUUUUUAUUAACUUUAGAGUUAAAGCUAAGAUAAUAUCUUCUUCUUCCAUGGUCAACAUAUACAGUACAUAGCAUUUACAAGUAAGUUUCAAAUUUUUCUCAAACUUUUUAGUUUUCAUACAUUUAAAUUUAAAUUUAUGUAAUAAAUCUUAAUACUUUGCUUCUAAUUGAACCUUAAUUUUUUAGUUUUGAAAUGACCAAUAAAUAUAUUAUUUUAUUUAAAAAAUGUUUGGUACUAACAAACAAUAAAGAUGUUAAAUUUACUGUAUAUUUUUUAAAGUUCAAAAACUAUAUAUAGCACCGAUUGAAAUAUUAAUGGCCUAAAAUUUUGACCUUACAUAAAGUUAUGCUCUUAAAUCAAAUCAAAUAUGCAUAUCAUUAAAUGUUGCACGCAAUUUACUUGAAUUUAAUUACAAAAUUGAAAAAGAAAUAGUAAAAUUUAUUAUAGAUCACUCUAAAAAAAAUAGCAAAUUAUUAAAAUUAUUUACAAAAUAUAAUAAAAUUCAUCAAAUUAUUUCCAACUCAUUUCAAUAUCUUACUAGUCAUUCACAAUUUUCUAUUUACAUAAAAUCAAAUAGUAGAGCAAAGAGUAAUAUAUAUAGUUUAUCCUCUUUGAAUAUAUUUCUAUACAUUACACACCAUAUAUGGGUAGAAAAAAUGUAUAUAUCGGUGUAACAGUAAAAUAGGUCAUGUUCUUAAAAGUCGUAAACCUUUUUAGAAAAAACCACCCAAUUUCUCUCACAGUUUUGUUCUCUCUUUUUGCAAUAUAAUGGAUAUAUGGAUUUCAUUUUGUUGCUUCUGCACCAUCUAUUUUCAAUCUUUGAAAUACUCGCAAUUAUUUCCAUAUACAUCCAAAUUUUAUCCAUCUAAUUAUUAACACUUAUUAUUCUCCCUUUAAAAAAAUUAUUAACAUUUAUUUCAAAUGACUCAUCAGACUUCCUCCUAGACUGUUCUAUCAAAAUCAAAUAAUUGUAUAUAAAAUAUUAUAUAAAUAAAUAAAUGUAGUAGUUGUAUUUAUACGUAUCAAAAUAAAAUAAAAAAUUCUUGAUUCUUUCUCUUCACACAUUGUCGACAUAUAAUAUAUAUUGUUUAUUCAUUCAAUCCGGUCCCUCUGGAAAAAGUAGAGACAUUAGUUCAAGUCCUAUUUUUUUAAUUAUCACAUCCAUAUACUUCAAUUUUAUUUUACUUAUUUUGCUUUAAAUGUUCCAUUUUGUUUUCAUUACUAUAGAAAAACAACUAAAUAUUAUCGAUUUUAAAAAGUUAAAUAUUUAUCCAAUGGUUGAACUAAAUUGGAGACUAAUAUACGUUGCCCAUACCCCUCACCAAUAUAUCUUCGUGAAAUCUAUAUCCACCAACCAAAUAUAUUUUAAACGUAUAUAUAAUUUGACAUGUUAUGUCAUAUUUUAAAAACCAAUAAAAUUACUUUUUUUUUUCUUUGAAAUCUAUUCCAUAUUUAAGAUUUGAAUUUGAUUUCAACUUAGUAAUAAAAUAUUAAAGGAUAUAAUUUUAUUCCUAACAUUUAAAUUUUAUUUGAAAAUUGGAUCCCAAGAUGUUAAGAUUAUUGUCAAAUUUGAUUUCAACAUCUGCGCCACAUGCCACUUCAAUUUCCUACUUAAAUACAGCUUUCUCAUCCAUACUUAAAAUCUGGUAUGUUCAUUGAUUACUGCCUAAUUAAAUUUCAAUUUCUUGUGGGUCUUUACUUUCUUUUUUUAAACAUUUUUUCCCAUGGGUCACCAACCAUGUUUUAUGGAUUAUGAUCUAAAUUGAUGGUAAUGAACUCUAUAAGUCAUAGAACUCAACCUAUGCAAUUCUCCCCCUCUUCUCUUGCCAAAAGAAAACACUAACCACUAAUAUAAAGAGUCACUGAACUACUAAUUUACUUGUAGAAAUGUAUGGGAUACAUAUUAAUUAAUUGAUAUCUAAAACUCUAAAAUCUACCACCAAAACAGAAAUAGAUAAAAUAAAAUCUUUAGGAUAGUAACAAAAUACCGUCAAAUUUAGGGUAUUCAACUAAUAGAGUUGGUGUAUUUACUAAUAAAAAUUUCAAUUCUGUAUUCAACUAAUAGAGUUGGUGUAUUUACUAAUAAAAAUUUCAAUUCUAAGUAAAACUUCUAUGAAAAUGCAAAAGACAGUAUAUGUAUAUAUAAUUACCAAAAUCAGUAUUACAAUUAUUCUAAUUUAGUCGUUAAACUUUAAAAAAAGAAUACUCAUUUGGUAAUUCAUAUCAUCAUAUCAACCAAAUCUAGACGUUUAAAAUCUAAACUAGAGCCAACCAAUACUUAAGCACAUGUCAACGUUAUAUUAUUCAUCUAUAACCACAAUAAAGUUUUUAAAAAAAUAAGAAAAUAGACAUUUUGUGAAUUUAAAAAAAUCUAAAUAGAAUCUUCAAAAAUUUAGAAACGACUACUACAAUAGUAUUUAAACAUUUUAAAAAGUAUAUAUUUGAUUUCAAAUAUAUAUAUAUAAUAAAAUUCUAUAACCACAAUAAAGUUUUUAAAAAAACAAGAAAAUAGACAUUUUGUGAAUUUAAAAAAAUCUAAAUAGAAUCUUCAAAAAUUUAGAAACGACUACUACAAUAGUAUUUAAACAUUUUAAAAAGUAUAUAUUUGAUUUCAAAUAUAUAUAUAUAAUAAAAUUCUAUAACCACAAUAAAGUUUUUAAAAAACAAGAAAAUAGACAUUUUGUGAAUUUAAAAAAAUCUAAAUAGAAUCUUCAAAAAUUUAGAAUCGACUACUACAAUAGUAUUUAAACAUUUUAAAAAGUAUAUAUUUGAUUUCAAAUAUAUAUAUAUAAUAAAAUUCUAUAACCACAAUAAAGUUUUUAAAAAACAAGAAAAUAGACAUUUUGUGAAUUUAAAAAAAUCUAAUAGAAUCUUCAAAAAUUUAGAAUCGACCACUACAAUAGUAUUUAAACAUUUUAAAAAGUAUAUAUUUGAUUNNNNNNNNNNNNNNNNNNNNNNNNNNNNNNNNNNNNNNNNNNNNNNNNNNNNNNNNNNNNNNNNNNNNNNNNNNNNNNNNNNNNNNNNNNNNNNNNNNNNNNNNNNNNNNNNNNNNNNNNNNNNNNNNNNNNNNNNNNNNNNNNNNNNNNNNNNNNNNNNNNNNNNNNNNNNNNNNNNNNNNNNNNNNNNNNNNNNNNNNNNNNNNNNNNNNNNNNNNNNNNNNNNNNNNNNNNNNNNNNNNNNNNNNNNNNNNNNNNNNNNNNNNNNNNNNNNNNNNNNNNNNNNNNNNNNNNNNNNNNNNNNNNNNNNNNNNNNNNNNNNNNNNNNNNNNNNNNNNNNNNNNNNNNNNNNNNNNNNNNNNNNNNNNNNNNNNNNNNNNNNNNNNNNNNNNNNNNNNNNNNNNNNNNNNNNNNNNNNNNNNNNNNNNNNNNNNNNNNNNNNNNNNNNNNNNNNNNNNNNNNNNNNNNNNNNNNNNNNNNNNNNNNNNNNNNNNNNNNNNUUCCUCAAAGUUCCAUACCCCUUCCCUCUGUAGCUUCCUUUCUUUUAUCUCUUUCCUCUAACUCCCGGCCCUACCAAAGUGGUCCCCCUGGUAGGUUCUUGUUUCACCUGCAAAAGAUUCAACCCACACCCACACCCACACAAAUACACAGAAUAUUUCCAGCACACUCACAAACACAAUACAACGGAGAGAGGCUGAUAUAUGUGUGUAUAUAUAUUCAAUAUGGAAUCAUAAGCUUCAACCAAGUAAGAGGGUUGCUCUCUCCCCAAUGAACAACGUUCAUUCAAAAUACAUAAUAACCAAGAUAAUCAACCCUAGCAAAAAACGCCUAUAUAUAUAUUCCCUUUCUGCUGCUGCCACGUGUUGUUAGGACCACUGGUCAUCCUAACAACCAUGUUGUCUAGGUGGAAUUUUUAUUAUUUUUACCCCUCCUUUGGUAAACUUGGGUGAUUGGAGGCCUAGUGUAACGGACAUACUUGUCCAAGGUGUGUUUACCUAUGGCCGUAUGCUCCGAUUAGCCCCAAUUUAUCUUGUCUUUAUGUCUUGUAUGUAGUUUAGGUAGUUGCUUUAAAUUUCAAGUCGAUAUGCUUGGGUGUGACGUUUCGGCAUUUUCAUAUGCAAGCCUACCAGAGAUGAAAAUGUUAAAAAUGUACUAUAGGGGAGGCAUACCUGUUGAAUCCCCGCCCAAGCCUUGUCGUACACUUUGCAAUCUAUGCUUUCUUAUUGCAAUUGACAGUCUUCAAUGCUUGUUUUAACAAUGUUUUCAAUCAAUUUAAUCAUCUUUCACGUUUUCUAAAAAUAUUUUCCAAGAACGUGAGGGGAGGUUGAAGCAUGUGUUGAAGUUGUCUGCGAUUUGUGGAUUUUGAUCGGCUGACUUGUUCGUCGAGCUAGAACAAGUGCCGCACUAUCGUUCACAUCGUGUUUGAAGAAUUACGAUUGUGACACCUAGCACCCUCUCUAUUAUUUCCCACCAUCGUUACGUGUGAUAUUAAUUUUACCUUCAUCAUCACGUGUGUUAUUAUUUUUAUUUCUCCUACUAUAUUUAAAUAUCAACGGGGGCCUAACGGAUUAUGAAUUAGAUUUUAUUCUUUUAGAUUGGAGUCCCAUUUUUGUAGCUUACUGGGAUCCUUUUGCCGAAGUUCUUUAAUCCUCUAGUAAAUAUUUAACUUUCUUUAUUAAAAAAAGGAAGAAGAAGAAAGGAAUAACAAAAACUGACAAACUCCUUUAGAUUGAAGUAUUAACCUUUCCAUAUCUUUGCCGAACAAUCUUCACUCCCACUAACAAUGACUUCGGAAGCAUGUGAAUCCACUGAAUACACAAUGGUAGUGUCACCAACCAUCUCCAUCAAUGUUUCACCACUUAGUGCCCAUAACCUAAUGGAACUGUCUAAAUGGAAAAGAAAAUCAAAGUCAACUUUCUAAUUAAUUCAAUAUUCUAAUAUAAAGAAUAUAACAAAUAGUCCUCCCAUGUGAAAUGAAAAGUGGUUCUACAGAUUCAGAGAAGGCAAUAGAAAUCACUCAUUUUAAUGUCAUUUAAUAUUUCAUCAACAACCUAUAGAGUUUAUUAAUCUUUUUCUUUCCUACUAAAGAAGCUCUAAUUUAUUACUCUAGGAAUGGUCCUUUCUAACUUAUAUACAGGUAACAAAAAAUAAAUUGAAGAAAUACUCUGAGCUUUUCCAUUUAGAAAUCCCAAUGAGCAAAGACUAAAGUCUUCCCGGGAUUCUUAGGAUGCCAAACUCCUCUCAUUGGAUAGACAUCAAUAUAUCUUAGAUGAGAAGCUACCUUGAAUAGCCUUGCUUCCUCAGCAUAUAAACAUAAAUAUAUUUGUUGUAUUCAAUCAAAAAUAAAAGAUAAGCUUGUUCUGAAACCAAUUCCAAAAAUUUCUUCGAAAAUAUGCUGGGAGAGUUGUUGUUGUUUAAAUACUUGGUCCUUCGAAGGUUGGAAUUACAAUGUAACUUUUCACAUAUUCAUGAAAAGUUAUGAUUCUUAUUAUGAAAGAAUGAAACUUCGAACUAGUUCCUAAAGGUAGUACUUUUAGCUGAUGUGGCAAUUUGGAUCAGCCAUGUACGGUUGCAUUCCUCAAUGUGAGUGAUAAUCAAACCCAAACUACCUCAAAGGAAUUAUUUUGUACAGUAACUCCAUCUUUACCAACUGCGACAUAAAACUAUCUAGGGUUCAUGGGUUGGGGUAAGAAAACUUUUGGACCCAACCCACCAAGUCUUUUUAUCAUUAAGUUUUCUUCAUUUUUAUGUCAAUUGGCAUGUAUUUUAUAAGCUUUGAGAGAAGAAACUUAAUAUAAAUGUAUACUUGGUCAGAACCCCGUCAUUUAGCCUCAAUUUUCACAAUGUAGAGGUAUAGAAUUCAGAGAGGUUAUUUUAUUUUCUUAAAAUUACUCCCCAACUGUUAAUCUAUGAUUAACUUUUGCUAUAAAAAAUUAGUCCUUAUAUCCCUCUUCUAGAAAUUUGACAAACAUAUUAAUCAGGCGCCUUUUUCUGAAAAAUAAUUGUUCAUAUAUUUUUUUGAAACAGAGACAACCCUUUUUAUUAAAGAUGUAAGUAAAAGAGACUAAUGCUCAAACUAUAGGAGAAUUAUACUAAGAGCGAAAAGAAUGACCAAAACAAAAGUACAGACAAAUUGAACAAAACAAUCAAAAUCCUGAGAAAACAAUAGAAAACUGAGAACAAAGCGAACUUAAAACCUUUCAACAAGAAGCCCAAAAUCAGCUGAAAAUUGCAGACUAAAAACUUCAGACUAGAUGGAAGGAAACACCAAGGGAGAGCUAACAACAAUGCAGCUUUGUUGAAAAAAAUAUCCCUCCCAAGUCAUCCUUCGAUCUUGAGUGAGUGACUAGAACCAGAAUAUUUCAUAAGAACUUUAGAGGGCCAAAAUAAUAAAAGCAUUCGUCGAACCUCAUGUGAUCCACUAAAACAAACCUAAAAGAUAAUUGGCUGAAAAACCAAGAUCAAGUUAUUCUAUACUCAAACCAAAGUAGUUCCACAUCGCUCAACAAUUGACUUCAAGCGAUCUGGAACUUCACAUUGUCGAGCUUGUGAGGGAAAUAAAGAGACUUGUUUCUCAGUAAUUAAAUCCUCCCUUGUCUGAAAGCGGUAUUAAGAUCAGAUUCUAGAGGAUCCUUAAUCAACUGAUCAAUGUUUACAAUGAGUAGUGGAGGCACUUUUGAUUCAGAUUUUACCGAAGGAGCUCAAGGUAUCGUGCAAUGUGAUCGAUUUUCUUGGGACACAUAAAUAAAUCUAACGCCAAUUGAAACAUAAGGACUAGUAUUUGGAGCAUGAUAUUUCUUCCUAUCUCUACAUGUAAAGAUCACAAGAAAAAUAAGAAUUUCACAAAAUAACAGAAAACAAAAUUAGACAAAAUCAGGGCAUGGCCGAGGAUGAGAUUAGAGAUGAAGCGGUGAUUAGUAUUUAUUGAAAAUGGGAGAAAAGUAGAAUGUCAAACCAAUCCAAGAACAUACCUCACAAAUCUUCGGAGAGACGAUCGUGGUCAAAGCAGUGGUUGUGGUCGAGGAUGAGAUUAGGGAUGAAAGGAUGUUACGAAAGGUAUAUCAACAAGAAGAAGGGUAAAACAACAACAUCCUGUCAAAAAUCACUUAAUGUGAUUGAGAUCUUUUAGCAUGACUGCUUGAGAACUAAAGAAAAAUUUAGAAUGUGACUGAGAACUUUUAGCACAACCGGGCAGCAACUUCAAUAACAGAAAAACAUGCAUAAUGUAGGAAGACAGCAGAUUUAAAAUUAUGACAGUGUAUUUAUGAAUGUCAGGCGAUACAUUAAUGUUCCAAAAUUCAACCAAAGUAUGGGAUGAAAGAUAUACAAGAAUCUUCCAUGAUAAGGGCAAGACCAGGAUAUCCUUAUCCAAAAGAAAGAAAAAAAUAAUCAACCAAAGUAAAUUCCAUGUAUGAUUGGAAAUUAUGGCCAAGGCGAAGGAUGAAGCGGAGAAUAGAAGGAAUAUUGAGCAGGGUACGACUUACCAUUAGCUUAGAUCAAAACCAGCAUCCGCAUUUAUGGCAUAAAGAAAUUUGUUUGCCAGCUGCUCCUUGCUGCAUUGCUCACAAAUCAUAGAGUUGUGAAAAUGAAAACUUAUGCAAGUUUUUUUAUCCUUUUUAGAAAAGAUGUAUAUGUUUUAGUUCAUCCACAAAUCAACAGACUUAAUAAACUGAUGUAAUUCAAGUUGGACUUAGUUUUUCACAAUGAAUUCUCCACCAAUAGUGGCUAAGAGAUGGAGUAUAUAUUGAGGAUUGUAAGUAGUUACAAGUAGUUGAAAUAACUGUUUUUAUGAAACAGUUUUAAUUGCAGUCUUAACAGCUAAACAGUUUAAUUAUUUAAACUGUUUUACUAACUAACUACAGCUGUUUAGCCAUGGCAUUCUAUAUUACAUCAUUCCACCCCUAGCAUGGAACUCGACCCGAGUGACUUAGUUGACAAGGCAGAAAUCAUCUGGGGCAUAGUACUGUUUCAGGUCUGCCACGUUAAAAAUAGGAUGAAUGUGCAAGUCUGGUGGUAGUUCAAUUCUGUAAGCGUUAUCUCAAAUCUUUUCUAGGACACGAAAUGGUCCUAAUUGUCUGUCUUUCAGUUUGUGUUCCAGUUGGAAAUCGAAUUUUUCUGAGGUGAAUCAUUACUAAGUCUCCCUCAGUAAGGGUAGCUUGUCUUCUCUUUUUGUCUGCUGCCUUUUUGUAGGACUGAGUUGAUUCUUUUAGGUGGUUAUGGACUUCUUCGUGUAAAUUCUGAAUCUUUUCUACCAUCUUUUCUGCUUCUGAGCUAGUGUCAAUAGCUGUGGGGAGUGAUGCUAGGUCAAAGGUUGUUAGUCUUGGCUGUUUUGUGUAUACGACCUCAAAUGGACAUUUGCCGGUUGAUCUAUUCUUCAUAUUGUUGAAGGCGAAUUCUGACUGUGCAAGAGCUAAGUCCCACUGUUUUGGUUUGGAUCCACUAAGACAGCAUAUUAAGUUGUCGACAGUUCUAUUUGUAACUUCUGUUUGGCCAUCUGUUUGAGGGUGUGAUGUUGUGCUAUAUUUCAUUCAAGGUUGUGUCAAAUUUGCUCCAUAAUGUCUUCCAGAAAUGGCUUAGGAACUUGACAUCCCGAUUAGAAACAAUGGUCUUUGGUACUCCGUGCAGCCGAACUAUCUCUCGACAGAAUAAAUUAGCUAUGUAGGUGGCAUCAUUUGACUUCUUACAAGCCACAAAGUGUGCCAUUUUACUGAAUCUGUCGACUACAACCAUGACUCAGUCAUACUGCCUUUGAGUUUUUGGUAAUCAGAGCCCGAAAUCAAUUGAUAGAUCUUCUCAAAUGGAAAUUGGGGUAGGUAAUGGUGAGUACAGGCCGGCGUUUAUACUUGAACCUUUAGCUCUUUGGCAGAUAGGGCACCUUUUAAUAAAGUUGUUACAGUAUCUUCUUAAUUAAGGCCAGUAGUAUCUCUUAAAGAUUAUUUCAAAAGUUUUAUCCUGCCCGAAGUGUCCAGCCAAUCCUCCUGAAUGAGCCUCUUUUAGUAGUGCUUCUAGAAGUGAUGUGUGUGGGAUACACAACUGAUCUCCUUUGAAUAGAUAUCCUUCCAUUAUAUGGAAGUCUUCCGCCUUGGUGUAGUGGCUGCAUUUGGUCCAUGUCAUGGCGAAGUCAACGUCUUCCCCAUAUAGGUUAGGUAAGUGUUUGAAUGCCUCGAUCUCCAUGGAUAGAAUAGUGAGUAAGGAGCUCUUCCUGGAUAGUGCAUCUGCCACCUUGUUCUCCUUACCAUUUUGGUGCCUAAUGACAAAGUCGAACCUUUGUAGGAAGGAGAUCCAUCGUGCGUGCAUCCGAGUAAUAUUCUUUUGUGACUAGAGAUCUUUCAAAGAGAAGCGGUUCGUUAGGAGUACAAAUUCCCUGCAUAGGAGGUAAUGUUCCUACUGUUUGAGUGCUCGGACAAGGGCAUAAAGCUCUUGUUCAUAAGUGCUCCAGGACUGUCUUGUUGUGCUCAACUUCUUACUGAAGUAUUCAAUAGGGUGGCCUUGCUGUGAUAACUCGGCUCCAAUUCCGGUUCCGUAAGCAUCAACAGCUACUUCAAAGGGUGAUGCGAAGUUCGACAACUGUAGAAUAGGGCUGGAAGUUAGUCUUCUUUUUAUCUCUUCAAAGCUCUGCUGUUGCUCUUCGUUCCACUUAUAGUUCCCUUUCUUUAGGCAGUCGGUUAAGGGGGUCACUAUUGAGCUGAAGUUUCUGAUGAAUCUUCUGUAAAAGGAUGCCAAGCCAAGGAAGGCUUGUACCUCCUUGAUGGAGGUUGGUAUUGGCCAAGACUUUAUGGCUUCUGUCUUCUUUGGUUCCAUACCUACUUUUCCUUCUUUGAUUACGAAGCCGAGAAAGACAAUUUCCUUGGUGAGGAAUGUACGUUUCUUUGGAUUAAUGUACAGUUCAGUUUCGGCCAGGACUUGGAACAAUUUUCUUAAGUGCUGAAUGUGGUCCUUCAGUACUAUUGUUGUACAAGAGGAUGUCAUCAAAGUAAACCACUAUGAACUGGUUUAGAAACGAGCACUGGUUCAUCAACCUCAUGAAGGUGCUCGGUGCAUUGGAUAAGCCAAAGGCCAUCACCAACCAUUCAAAUAACCCUUCAUUAGUUUUGAAGGUUGUCUUCCACUCGUCUCCGGGCCUGAUUCUUAUUUGGUGAUAACCGCUUCUUAAGUCAACUUUUGAGAAGAUGGUAGCUUUACCUAGUUGAUCUAGUAAGUCUCCAAUUCGAGUAAUAGGAAAUCGGUAUUUUACAGUGAUUCGGUUGAUAGCCCUGCUGUCUACACACAUACUUCAACUUCCGGCCUUAGGUGUGUGAGCAGUGUUGGCACAACACAAGGGCUUAGGCUAGGCUUCAUGUGACCCUUUUUCAACAAGUCUUCAAUGUGGUCAUGUAAAUUAGGUAGCGAGGCUCCUGGGGUAAGAUCAAUUUGGUGUUGGAUGUCACGAAUUGGUGGCAAUCCUUGCAAGUCCUUCUUUAGGUGAGGAAAUCUGCAAACAAGUUCUCUAAUCUAGUCUCACCUUCUUUCUCCAGGGGUUUGUCAGCCACUACAAGUCCCAAAAGGUCUUGCUCCCUUUCUCUCAAGAUCUUCUUCCCGCUCACUGUGAUGAAGAGUUGUCCUUUUUUCUUCUGCUUCAGGCCUUCAGAGUUUUUCUUUGUUAAUGGGAGUUGAAUUACUUUCCUUCCCAUCCACUGGAACUCAUAGGUGUUUUCCCUCCCCCUGUGUUUGGUUCAGGUGUCAUGUUGCCACGGUCGGCCUAGGAGUAGAUGGCACACGUCCAUGUCUAAAACGUCGCACACAAUCUGGUCUUUGUAGCUACUUUCGAUGGAUAGGGGCACGGUGCAAAUUUCAUUGAUUGAUUGUGGUCUCUCCUCCUUUCUUCACCCAUCCUAUUUUGUAAGGAUCAGGGUGAGGGUCUGUUUUUAGGCAGAGAAUGGUCACAAUCUUUAUUGCUAAAAAGUUCUCACUGCUUCCACUAUCACUUAUAAUGUCCUCUAUAGCCAUGAGCCAUGAUUGUAUGGGUGGUUUGCCGAAUCUCUGUCUAUUUAUCUCCAAUUGGUCCCACCAUGUUAAGGCUCCUCCUCCCAAUUUUAGAGCCACAAGUUCUCGGUGUUUUUUAUCCAAUCCAAGAAAGAUUCUAUAUCCCGUUUACCAUUAUAGGUUGGGAGGUCAAUUUUCAUUUUGUAGUCGUGAUGAAUCUCUCGUCAUGCUUUAUGUCCUCUAUAGCCGUGAGCCAUGAUUGUAUGGGUGGUUUGCCCUAUCUCUGUCUAUUCAUCUCCACUUGGUCCCACCAUGCCGAGGCUCCUCUUCUCAAUUUUAGAGCCACAAGUUCUCGGUGUUUUUUAUUCAAUCCAAGAAAGAUUCGAUAUCCCGUUUACCAUUAUAGGUUGGGAGGUUAAUUUUCAUUUUGUAGUGGUGAUGAAUCUCUCGUCAUGCUUUAUGUCCUCUAUAGCCGUGAGCCAUGAUUGUAUGAGUGGUUUGUCGAAUCUAUGUCUAUUUAUCUUCAAUUGGUCCCACCAUGCCGAGGAUCCUCCUCUCAAUUUCAGAGCCAUAAGUUCUCGGUGUUUUUUAUCCAAUCCAAGAAAGAUUUGAUAUCCCGUUUACCAUUAUAGGCUGGGAGGUCAAUUUUCAUUUUGUAGUCGUGAUGAAUCUCUCGUCAUGCUUUAUGUCCUCUAUAGCCAUAAGCCAUUCGAUAUUCUCCGUUGUCGUUCCAAAUAUUUCCUUGGUCGUCGCCACUGGAAGAAUCAUAAUCUUGCACGUUUUGCCACUCCUCGUCGUCAUCUUGCUCAUCAUCGUCGGCGUGUCGUAGUGGGAUUCCUCCCGGUCUCCUUCUUUGAUCAUUUCUUUGGUUGGGCCAGUUUCUAAGGUUCCUUUGAGCCCGUCAGCCACCUCUGUUUCCUGCCUUCCAGUCAUAAUCCUCGUUCCUUGCCGGUGCCGGUAGUUCAUCCAUUCUUCGAGUGAGUGAGUCUAAGUUGUCCAUUACUUUGUUCAUUUUGUCAUGUAAAUCUCCCAAGGAGUCUUCGACGGCCAGCAAGCGUACAGUGGUGGUCCUUGGAGAGAGGGUGGCGGUCUCUUCCACCUCUUCCUGCUCGCGGUUGUCCCCUGCGGCGGGGAUUCUUCUCCGGCCAGCCAUCCGUCUGAGGAUCGGGGCUGCUCUGAUACCACUUGAUGUAAUUCAAGUUGGACUUAGUUUUUCACAACUGCCAAUAAUGGCUAAGAGAUGGAGUAUUUAUUGAGGAUUGUAAGUAGUUACAAGUAGAUGAAAUAACUGUUUUUAUGAAACAGUCUUAACUGCAGUCCUAACAGCUGAACAGUUUAAUUGUUUAAAACUGUUUUACUAACUAACUACAGUUGUUUAGCCAUGACAUUCUAUAUUACAUCAUAAACCUAACCAAGUUAUUCAACCAAAUUGGUGUUAGUUUCACGUAAUCACGAAAAAUAAAAAUUUCUUGGUGGACUGGAUGUUGUAUGGCCAAGUAAAAAAGAAAACCCAGCCAUAAUGGACGAGCCGUGAAGGUGAAAAACAUAGGAUAUGUUUGAGAAUGAUUUUUUAGAGUUAAAAUCACUCCGUAUAUGUUAGAAGCCACUCUGGCAUGCCCUUAACUAUUGAGAAUCUUAAUCAAUUUAAUGUUUGAUUUAAUACUUAAACCCGAUUUUCAUAGCACCAAAUUUGAUUUUCAAUGACUAAAAUGUGUUCCUCAGAGUAAUUUUGGACAUGACAUGUGAUUUUUAUCAUUUUAAAAUGUUGCUAUAUACUUAAUUAUUUUGAAUCUAAUUGUUACAUUUGCAAUUAUCCCAUUUUUUUUAUGUUCCACGCUAAUCUAUAUAUGCCUGAAUACAGUUUCAAGCAUGUAGCCAGGAAUGUCUCGCAAAGUACUGAGUUACUUUUUCACAUGAUUUUUGCUAGCAGGAUAAAUUAGUUUAAGCUCUAGAAGGAACCAACUUAUCCCCUUAAGGGAAACCAAAACAAAUAAUUAAGAAUAACGAGGAUACGAAUUUUACCCAGGAAAUGGAGAAAAAUGAACAAAACACCAAUUUCCUUUGUAUGCAAAAACAUGGCUCAAGAUAUUUAAGGCCAAGAAGAGGUCCUCGAGAGCAACCAGUUACAAACCUAAUGAAAAAGCAAGAUCCAAUUGUUAUAUUUCUGAAGUUCAGUUUUUCUCUAAGCCAACUUGAGACAAGAAGUAAUGACCAACUGAUGUGUAAUGAAAAUACUCACUUCAGAAAUUUCUUUUGGUUUUCCACGGAGAAACUUUUGAUAACUUCCCAAAACAUCUCAAUGACAUAAUGCUCCUGAAAGCAUGAAAUAAAAAUUCAAAUUUCGAUGUUCCCACAUUUCAAAAGCAUAAAAGAACAUGAUUAAAAAAGUGAAGAUGUUUCUCAGUUUCCUAUCACAAAUUUCUUGAUCAUGGUUGUGCCUGACCAAACAGGGCAUUACAAACAAUACAAGUCCAAAGUUUGUUUUCAUAGUCAUAGAAACAUAAGAGAGGACUAGAAGUCUGAAUAAUGGUAAUCAAUUUAUCCCCCAGUUUCAAACACAAAUACAGGCAUACACAUUGUAAGAAUUCGAAAUUAAUUGAAAAAUAUUAAAAAGAAUCUAAACGAUGACCAACUCCCUAAGCUCCAAAGACUUCAAAACCAUCUCCCAAUUACCCGGGUGAGAUCCUCCAACAUCAUCUACAAUUAUGAAAUUUAAUUGACUUGACAUCACAAUUCCGAUUGCACUACAAUAAAUCUAGUAUUCGAUAUCCUAAACCAAGAAUUGUUCAACCUCCAAAGGAAGAUUAAUUGUAACUAAUCUUCUUGCAAGAUUUCAAAUUUUCAAAAUUUUAUCGAACACAAUAUGCAAAAAAAUUAUGCAGAAAAGAAAAGAAAAGAAAAGAAAAUACAUAUGUAGAAAAAAGGGUUUAAUAGAACUUACCCUAUGAACCUGAUAUUAAAAGCUGAAAUGAAAUAGACCAGUCAAAGACAGCAACUCGAUUUAUCUUGGAACCACAAAAGACUAGCAACAAAACCUCCAUCAGUAUUUAGCCAUUGGUCCAUGAUUUGACCUAAAUUAGGGUUCUCUUUAUGUUUUUCUUAUCAUUUCCCAUCGCAAGGGAAUUUUUUUUCCCACAUCUUUUCCCCUUACAAGGACUUCAGUUGUCACCACUUAGAGUCCAUGUAAGGCUAAAAACAAUCUAGUUCACUUCGUUUAUUUCUCAGAUUUUAAUGAUUAGUAAAAUUCUGCCUCUACACUUUUACGAGCAUUAUGCCUCUUCGAAAAUGAACAACUUGAAUCUUAAGGAAGACUAGUUUCCUUAUCCUGAACCUGAAUCUUCACAUCAUCAAGGAAACCCACAUCUAUUCCUUCAGGUGAACUCAAUAAGGAAGACCCUUAUUCCUCUAGGGUUUAGGCUUUGGUUAGUUGCUGCCCAGAUCACAAGAUCAAGUGUACUCCUAAUCAUUCUAGGUUCUUGCUUUAAUUAGUUUAGUGUUUCACGUCACAUGAAAAUUAAAGGUCGACAAUGGCACAUUAUCAAAACUACUAACCUCCUCCCCCCUCCCCCUCCCCCACCCACACACCCACACACCCACACAAAAAGAAGAAUAAAAAUGCAAAUCUAAGUGCUUAACCCUACUGACUUCGUAUGGUCUAGGAGAAAAAAUGUUCCUCCUUUAACAUACUUCUUUCCCAAAUAGUAUAAUUAAUACUAGCAUGAAAUAGGAUUCAAGGCACAUGAGGCAGUUGAUGUGCAAUGAUAAACGAGUCAUCAAGAGAUUAUAUAACAGCAAACCAGCCUUUUCAUGCAAACCACGUUACUAUCUCAGUGAGCCAGUGAUACCUGGAAUUCAAGCUCAUUGAACAUGUCGAUCCAUUCUUUCUGUAUAAGCUGCUGAAACCCUCUCAAAAAAUGAGAACUUUGCUGUCGUAUCUGAGGAGGACAUGUUUUCAAUCAACAUUGGAGUAGGGAGACACAUUGGAUAAACAAGGGACAAACUAUGCUGAAAGUUCAAACGAUGAUUGGCAACAAGAUGAAUGAAUGUGAUGACAUUUUCACAGGUGACACGACGGUUUCUUCCUCCAGGAAGUAGCUCUUCUUCAGUUUGCUUUCCAUAUUCAUUGUUUAUAAUAACAAAAUAUAGCCCUAGUUCAGAAAUGUCACCUUCAUAAUGCUGUCCAGAAAAAUCAGAAGGGAAGACCCAAAAUUUAAGAUAAGGAGUGAGAAAAAGAUUCUAUGAGGAUACUAGAUUGAUCUAGAUCAUCGAUCAACAGGCUAAGUGUGGUAUCAGCUAAAAGUGAUACCAGGGAAUACACACCUUUAAGAAAAUAAGGUGGCGAUACAAUUCAGGAUCCAAGCAUGGCAAGUCAUUUAGAUAGUUCUACCUGUUGUGAUGAUAAACAUUGGAAAUAUUCAAUGUUGGGUUAAAUAUUAUUCCAUCUUUAUACCAUGCAACCAUGCAAUAUUAAACUCUCAUAAAUUAUAUAGAAAGCUGAUAGACCUCCCAUAGUAAAGGUGCAUUCCCGUAGAGACAAGAAUAGAAAGAAGAAAGAAUGAUUGAGUGUUAGUUGGUAUUUUUCCAUUUGUGUGGGCCCUUAGGAAUGUGUUUGUUAGAGUGGGGCCAAGUAUUUUAUUAUUUCUCUGAGCAAUUACUUAAGUGUCUUGAGUGGGAGGGUAUGAGUAUCUUUUUGGACAUAUGAUUUUGGUCUAGACUCUCAUUAGAGUCUGGAGAGACUUGGGAGCUCUCAAAUCCUUUCCCACAGUUGAUAAAUAAAAUUUUGGCUAAAGCCUUAACAGUUUUGGUAUCAGAGCCAACGUUCCUGGUAUGGUUGGUAAAAAUUGAGCGAGGAUAUGAAAUUGUUAAUACACGGGAUGGGAGUGACGGGAAGUGCCUCAAAAGGAUCCACAUCUAGUGAAAGAACGAUUACAGACAAGGGAAAGGGAAUAAUGAAUGAGGAACAAGUUCAGGAAGAAAAAAGUGAACAAAAAACUAACCCGGUGGUGGAUGAGGGAGUUGGAGUACCAUGUGCACCAAAUAUUUGUGAGAUACCCCUUUUUGACACGAAGCUACGAAAAUUGGAGGUGCCGAUAUUUAAAGGGGAGGAAGAAGAGAACGUGGAUGGAUAGCUACAUCAUGUGGAGUGCUAUUUUGUGGUGAAUAUCUGACGAAGAGAGAUAAGUUGGAUGCGGCGGUCCUGUGCUUGGAGGGGGAAGCUUUGGACUGGUAUCAAUGGAAGGAGGAUAGAAAGAAAAUCUGCAGCUGGACAGAAUUCUGACAGCUUCUGUGGACGAGAUUCAAAGCGUCCGACCAGGGAGAUAAACACGCAAGGUUGAUGAAAUUACAGCAGGAGACCACCGUGAGGGAUUACCGGCGGCGAUUUGAACAAUUUUCGGCCGGCCUUAAAGAUAUGAGUAAUGCAGCCCUAGAAAGUAAGUUUGUGUGUGGGCUGAAGGAAGAGAUCCAAAGUGAGAUCUGAAAAUUGAAUCCAGUGGGCCUACAGGCUAAAAUGUUAAUGGCCCAAAUAAUUGAGAAGAUGAUCAAGUGGUUCAAUUGAAGAGAAUUCAUGGGGCAAGUGGAAACCCUAAUUUAUCACUUAAAAUGUCGAAUAGUGGGCCAAGCGGGUCGGGAAGUCAAACUGGGUCAAAGGCCUCAAAUCGGGUCGCUACAUCACGAACGAUUACGAUUAACCCUAGCCAAAAUUCAUCGUAUUCAUCCACGACGAUUACUUCAUCGCAGGAAUCGGGCGCGAAGAGUACGAUGUCUCAACCAUACCGCCGAAUGACUGACAACGAAGUGCGGAUUAAGAAGGAAAAAUAUUUGUGUUUUAGAUGUGACGAGAAGUUCAGUCCGGGGCACCGCUGCAAAAGACGUGAAUUGAACAACAUUGUUGUUCAAGAAGGGGAAGACUUAAGUGACAGAACCGAUCAAGUGGGGGAAGAAAUCGAAACCAACGGGAAAUAGUGAAUCUGUCGAUAAAUUCAUUGGUAGGUUUCAAUUCGCCGAAAACCAUAAAAAUUAAAGGAGAAAUAAGGGGACGUGAGGUUGUGGUGCUGGUCGAUGGGGGAGCCACACACAAUUUAAUUGCAGAAGAGAUAGUCAAAGAGCUAAAAAUUUCAGUAGAAACCAUGGAUGCAUAUGGGGUUGUUCUGGGAACCGGAGGCGUAGUCCAAGCAACCGGUGUGUGUAAGGAUGUAAACCUGACAAUCGCCAAUUUAUCAAUCACUCACGAUUUUCUCCCUCUACCACUCGGGAGUGUCAACAUUAUAUUAGGAGUUACUUGGUUGGAAAUGUUAGGGAAAGUAAUUUUUUAUUACAAGUUGUCGGAGAUGGAAUUCUCACUGGGUGAAUGGGUGGUAAUUCUUCAAGGGGAUAGAAGUUUAGUAAUAUCCCAAGUGUCACUUAAAUCGAUGAUGAAAACCUUUGAGAAGGAAGAUCAAGGUGUGUCAAUCGAAUUAAGUGCAGUUGAACAGUGGGGAGCAAGGGAACACAUAGCAGACUACUUGAGUAAACUACAACCAAAUUUCAAAAAGUUCUUCAGUCCUUUAGCGUUGUGUUUGAACCAAGCAAUCAAUUACCCCCACCUCACGAUCAUGAUCAUGCUAUUGAAUUAAAACUAGGGGCUCGUGCAGUGAACGUGCGCCCGUAUCAUUAUCCCCAAUUUCAGAAAGAUGAGAUAGAGAAACUAGUUAAGGAAAUGCUGCUAGCCGGAAUAAUUCAGCCAAGCAAAAGUUCCUUUUCAAGCCUGUGCUCCUUGUUAAGAAAAAAGAUGGUAGCCGGCGAUUUUGUUGAUUACCUAGCACUGAAUCUUGCCACUAUACCAGAUAAGUAUCUGAUUCCUGUUGUUGAUGAACUGUUAGACUUAUUAUUUGGGGCAACCAUAUUCUCCAAAAUUGAUUUAAAGUCAGGUUAUCAUCAAAUUCGGGUGCGGGCGGCCGAUGUUCACAAAACAGCGUUUCGAACCCACGAGGGGCACUAUGAAUUCCUUGUGAUGCCGUUUGGGUUGAAGAACGCUCUGGCAACAUUCCAAUCAGUCAUGAGUGAUGUUCUUUCCCCAUAUUUACGCAAGUUUGUUUUGGUUUUCUUUGAUGACAUCUUAAUUUACAGCAAGUCCUUGGACGAGCAUUUGCACCAAUUGGCAAUGGUUUUGGAAACUCUAGUAGCUCAUCAACUGGUAGCCAACUUUGAAAAAUGCCAAUUUGCGGUUGACAAAAUUGAAUACUUGGGCCAUGUUAUUUCUUCAGAGGGGGUGGCAGCGGAUCCAACAAAAAUAGAAGCGAUGGUUAAAUGGCCAGCACCCAAGAACGUGAAGGAGCUAGGUGGGUUUUUGGGGCUAACGGGGUAUUAUCGGAAAUUUGUUGCAAACUACGGUUCUAUUGCGCUGCCCUUGACACAACUGUUAAAAAAAGGUAACUUUAAGUGGAAUGAGACGGCCGAGAACGCAUUUCAGCAGUUAAAAGUCAGCAAUGAUGUCUGUCCCAGUGCUAGGUAUUCCUGAUUUUUCACAAAGUUUUAUGCUGGAAACUGAUGCUUCGUGAUGUAAACUAUAGCUAGUUAGUUAGUAAAAAUCCCUAACUAAUUAGAAAUACAGCUGUAACUAACUUCCUAAAACAGUCUUGUAACUAACUAAAUAAAACAACCUUGUAACUAACUUGUAACUAACCUUGAGAUAUCAAUAUAUAACAGUCUCCUAGCCUGAAAUAUGGCAGAGAAUUCUUUUGAAAAAUCAAUCCAACUUUGAAUUACAUCAAAUUGGUAUCAGAGCAGCCCCGAUUCUUGGACGGAAUGGCUGGCCGAAGAGUUAACAACCCUGCCACGGGGGAAAACCGUGUGCAAGAAGCGGCGGAGGAAAUCACCGUCCUCUCUCCAAAGACAUCAACAGUUCGCUUGCUGGCUGUUGAAGAAUCUUUGGGAGAUCUCCACAACAAAUUUGAUAGGUUGAUGGAAAGUGUCGAACUGUUAAACCGAAGAGGAGAAUUCCCACAGCCACCACCACGGAAUGAAAUUAACUUCCAAAACGACCAACGUUUUGGUGAAACAAGAGGCCGGCGAGCAAGGGGAUACGUUAGAAACAUGAACAAUCCACGAGGACUUCAAAGAAGGAGACCCGGUUACGCUAUACAGCAACAGCUUGACGAAGACUUUCAAGAAGAUCAAGAAGCUUGGCAAGAAACCCAAGAAGAUGAUUCUUCAAGCGGGGAUGAACAAGGAAACAUGUGGAACUUCAAUGAUGAAGCACGAGCAGGAAGAAAUAACCAAAGAAUUGAGGCCAGAAGAGGAGAAUACCACGAUUAUAAGAUGAAGAUUGACCUUCCCAUGUAUGAUGGCAAACGAAACAUAGAAGCAUUCUUGGACUGGAUAAAGAGUACUGAAAACUUCUUCAACUACAUGGAUACGCCUGAACGCAAGAAAGUCCACCUAGUAGCCUUAAAAUUAAGGGCUGGUGCAUCAGCUUGGUGGGAUCAGUUAGAAAUCAAUAGACAAAGAUGCGGGAAACAACCGGUUCGCUCAUGGGAAAAGAUGAAAAAAUUAUUGAAGGCAAGAUUCUUACCACCAAACUACGAACAAACUUUAUACAAUCAGUACCAAAACUGCCGCCAAGGUGUCCGGACAGUAGCUGAGUACAUUGAAGAAUUCCACCGCCUGAGUGCAAGAACAAACCUAAGCGAAAAUGAACAGCACCAGGUUGCAAGAUUUGUGGGAGGCCUUCGAUUCGACAUCAAGGAAAAGGUCAGACUACAACCAUUUCGUUUCCUGUCUGAAGCAAUAUCAUUUGCAGAAACGGUAGAGGAGAUGAUUGCAAUUCGAUCCAAGAAUCUAAAUAGAAGAUCAGCAUGGGAAACAAAUUCGACAAAAAGCAAAACAAACGACCAACCUUCAACCUCAACAAAAGCAAAAGGGAAAGAGAUUGAUAAUCAAGAAGUAGCCGUUGAAAGAAAGAAAGAACAGACGUUCAAGCCUAGUGGUCAGAACAGCUACUCCCGCUCGUCAUUAGGAAAAUGCUUCCGAUGUGGCCAAACUGGCCACCUGUCCAACAACUGUCCGCAAAGAAAAACCAUUGCAAUAGCCGAAGAAGGAGGACAGAUAAGUGAAGACAGUAUAGAAGCAGAGGAAGAAACUGAACUGAUUGAAGCAGAUGAUGGGGAAAGGGUCUCUUGUGUUAUCCAACGGUUACUAAUUACGCCCAAGGAAGAAAAGAACCUGCAACGCCACUGUCUUUUCAAGACAAGAUGCACCAUAAACGGAAGAGUAUGUGACGUAAUCAUAGACAGCGGCAGCAGUGAAAACUUCGUAGCAAAGAAAUUAGUAACAGUCUUGAAUCUAAAGGCUGAAGCACAUCCAAACCCUUACAAGAUAGGUUGGGUGAGAAAAGGAGGAGAAGCCACGGUCAGCGAAAUCUGUACAGUCCCUCUCUCCAUUGGAAACGCCUACAAAGACCAAAUUGUUUGUGAUGUCAUUGAGAUGGAUGUAUGCCAUCUCCUACUAGGAAGACCUUGGCAGUAUGAUACUCAAUCAUUACACAAAGGGAGGGAAAAUACAUAUGAGUUUCAAUGGAUGGGAAGAAAGGUAGUCUUACUCCCUAUAACGAAAAAGAUUAACGAAGGGUUAAGAGGUGAGAAACAGUUAUUCAUCACUGUUAGUGGGAAAAACAUGCUUAAAGAAAGGGAACAAGACAUCCUAGGACUGGUUGUUAUUGAAAAAACCAAAGAAAAACAGGUUGAAGACAUAGAACCCAAAUUACAGCAGCUCCUUCAUGAGUUCCCUCAUAUAAAGGAAGAACCGAAGGGACUCCCACCCCUUCGAGAUAUACAGCACCACAUAGACUUGAUUCCGGGAGCAUCACUACCAAAUUUGGCUCACUAUAGGAUGAGCCCCCAGGAGUACAAAAUACUUCAUGAUCAUAUUGAGGAAUUACUAAAGAAAGGGCACAUCAAACCUAGCCUCAGCCCGUGUGCAGUACCAGCACUUCUCACGCCAAAGAAAGAUGGAAGCUGGAGAAUGUGCGUUGACAGCAGAGCCAUCAACCGCAUCACGGUAAAGUAUAGAUUUCCCAUUCCAAGGAUUAGUGACCUGCUAGAUCAACUCGGAAAAGCCAGUAUCUUUUCGAAAAUUGACUUGAAAAGUGGCUAUCAUCAAAUACGGGUAAGACCUGGCGACGAAUGGAAGACAGCCUUCAAGACAAACGAAGGAUUAUUUGAAUGGAUGGUCAUGCCAUUCGGCCUUUCUAACGCACCCAGCACCUUCAUGAGAUUGAUGAACCAGGUACUUCACCCAUUUCUCAACAAAUUCAUAGUAGUUUACUUCGAUGACAUACUUGUUUACAGCACAAACAAUGAUGAGCAUUUACUACACCUAAGGAAGCUGUUCCAAGUCUUAACAGAAGCGGAACUCUACAUAAAUACUAAGAAAAGCAUGUUUAUGAAAAAAGAAAUUGCAUUCCUCGGCUUUAUAAUCAAACAAGGAAGCAUAAGCAUGGAACCAAAGAAAAUCGAAGCCAUCCAUACAUGGCCGACUCCUGCCUCCAUUAAAGAAAUACAAGCCUUCCUCGGCCUGGCUUCGUUUUACAGGAAAUUCAUCAGAAAUUUCAGCUCUUUAGCCGCACCACUAACUGACUGUCUAAAGAAAGGAAACUUCAAAUGGACCCCGUUACAACAAGAAAGCUUUGAAGAUAUCAAAAAGAAGCUCACAUCCAGCCCUAUCCUUAGAUUACCAGAUUUCUCUUCACCUUUUGAAGUAGCAGUUGAUGCAUGCUGUACAGGGAUUGGAGCUGUCCUAGUACAACAAGGACAUCCUAUCGAAUACUUCAGUGAAAAACUCAGCACCUCAAGACAGACCUGGAGCACAUACGAACAAGAGCUGUAUGCCCUCGUCCGAGCACUAAAACAAUGGGAACACUACCUGAUCUCUAAAGAAUUUGUACUCCUAACUGACCAUUUCUCACUAAAAUACCUUCAAGCUCAAAAGAAUAUCAGUAGGAUGCACGCACGCUGGAUAUCCUUCCUCCAAAGGUUUGACUUCGUGAUCAAACACCAAUCAGGCAAAGAGAAUAAGGUGGCCGAUGCUCUAAGCAGAAAAGGCUCCCUACUCACAAUACUGUCCUCGGAAAUCAUAGCAUUCAAACAUUUACCCGACUUAUACGAAGGUGAUACUGACUUCAAGGAUAUCUGGUACAAAUGCUCCAACUUCUUAGACGCUGAUGACUACCACAUUGUUGAAGGAUAUCUAUUUAAAGGAGAACAAUUAUGCAUCCCGCACACCUCACUACGUGAAGCCUUAAUAAAGGAAGCACAUUCUGGAGGGCUAGCUGGACAUUUCGGACAGAAUAAGACAUUGGAGAUCACUUCCAAACGAUACUACUGGCCGCAAAUAAGAAAAGACUCCAAUAAUUUCGUAAAAAGAUGCCCCAUCUGCCAAAGAACCAAAGGCUCCAGCACGAAUGCAGGAUUAUACUCGCCACUACCCAUCCCGACCUCAAUAUGGGAAGAUUUAUCAAUUGACUUCGUGAUUGGAUUACCAAAAACACAAAGACAAUUUGACUCAAUAAUGGUUAUAGUGGACAGAUUCAGCAAAAUGACACAUUUCGUAGCAUGCAAAAAGACAAAUGAUGCAAUCUACAUAGCCAACCUCUUCUUUAAAGAAGUAGUACGACUACAUGGAGUACCUAAAAGCAUAGUAUCAGACAGAGAUGUCAAGUUCCUGAGUCACUUUUGGCGAACACUGUGGAAGAAGUUUGACACAACACUGAAAUUCAGCACCACAGCCCACCCACAGACAGAUGGACAAACUGAAGUAACAAACAGGACCCUCGGUAAUCUGCUACGCUGCCUUAGCGGGUCAAAACCAAAACAAUGGGAUCUAGCAUUGGCUCAAGCUGAAUUCGCCUUCAAUAAUAUGAAGAACAGAUCAACAGGAAAGUCCCCCUUCGAAGUAGUUUAUACCAAACUACCACGAUUAACCUUUGAUCUCACUACACUCCCCACAACUGUGGAUCUCAACAACGAAGCAGAAUGCAUGGCAGAAAAUAUCAAAAAACUACACAAGGAAGUCCAUGAUCAUCUUAUACAGACAACAGACUCCUACAAAAAGGCAGCACAUAAAAAAAGAAGACAAGCCCACUUCAAUAAAGGAGACCUAGUAAUGGUACACCUGAAAAAGAGCAGAUUUCCUACUGGCACCUACAACAAGCUGAAAGACAGACAAAUUGGGCCAUUCCCUAUAUUAGAGAAAUACGGAGAUAAUGCCUUCAAGAUCGAUCUACCACAAGACAUACACAUACACCCAGUCUUCAAUGUUGCUGACCUAAAGCCAUACCAUGCACCAGAUCGUUUCAGGCUUGCUGACUGAUGGACCCUGGGACGAGUCCAUCCUUAGGGGGUGGAAUGAUGUAAACUAUAGCUAGUUAGUUAGUAAAAAUCCCUAACUAAUUAGAAAUACAGCUGUAACUAACUUCCUAAAACAGUCUUGUAACUAACUAAAUAAAACAACCUUGUAACUAACUUGUAACUAACCUUGAGAUAUCAAUAUAUAACAGUCUCCUAGCCUGAAAUAUGGCAGAGAAUUCUUUUGAAAAAUCAAUCCAACUUUGAAUUACAUCACUUCGGGUGUGGGUAUUGGGGCUGUCCUAAUGCAAAAUCAACGACCAGUGGCCUUUUUCAGUCAAGCUUUACCUAUUACCCAUAGGUUUAAGGCUGUUUAUGAAUGGGAGCUUAUGGCAAUAGUGCUGGCUGUUAAAAAAUGGCGACCAUAUCUAUUGGGUAAGCCUUUUGUGGUGCGUACAGAUCAGAAAAGUUUGAAGUUUCUUCUUGAACAACGGGCUAUCGGGGGAGAAUAUCAGAGAUGGAUCGCUAAACUAUUGGGGUAUGAUUUUGUGAUUGAGUACAAGAAAGGAUUGGAAAACAAAGCGGCCGAUGCCUUAUAGAGAUUACCACCGGUAUUUGAAUUGGGCCUCGUAAGUAUUGUGGGCGGGCUAAACCCUUCGGUUUUCGUCGAUCAAGUGGCUGGAAAUGAAUCUCUUAACAAUAUUCGAUUAUCCUUGAUAAAUGGACAGCCAGCUCCAGAUGGAUAUUUGCUACAAGGAGGAGGAUUCACCUAAUAUUACUUUAUUAUUAGCUGAGUUCCAUAACAGCCCGAUAGGGGGACAUCAUGGUGCAUUGAAAACAUAUCAAAGGCUAGCAAGGGAGGUCUAUUGGCACCUAUGUUGCUGAAUGUUCCGUGUGUCAGCAAGCCAAAUACUUGUCUUUAACUCCGGCUGGUUUCCUUCAAGCAUUACCCAUUCCGGACCGUGUGUGGGAAGAUAUUAGUAUGGAUUUUAUUGAGGGCCUCCACAAAUCCGAGCGUUAUGAUGUUAUAUUGGUAGUUGCGGAUCGUCUUUCCAAGUAUGCACAUUUCAUUCCCUUGAAACAUCCAUUUGGUGCAAAAGUGGUUGCUGCUGUUUUUAUGCGAGAGAUUAUUCGUUUGCAUGGAUGCUCCCGAAGUAUAGUGUCGGAUCGUGAUCGUAUUUUCACAAGUCUAUUCUGGGAAGAGUUGUGGAGGUUGUUGGAAACUCAGUUGAGACGAAGCACCACUUACCACCCCCAAACGGAUGGUCAAACAGAAGUUGUCAAUCGAGGGGUGGAGACGUAUCUACGGUGUUUUGCUAUGAACACACCUAAACAGUGGGGUAAAUGGCUAGCUUGGGUUGAAUUGAGCUAUAAUACAACAGUCCGUACAGCCAUAUUGAUGACCCCCUUCGAGGCCCUCUAUGGGCGACCACCCCCCUCUAUAUUACCGUAUGUGAAGGGCUCGAGUCGGGUGAAUGAAGUAGACCAUUUGAUGAAAGAAAGAGAUGAAAUUUUGGGUGUUUUGAAGGCCAAUUUACUGAAAGCACAGCAGCGAAUGGUCAAAUAUGCUAAUGCUAAAAGACAGGAGGUUCUGUUUAAGGUUCAUGAUUGGGUUUAUGUGAAGUUACGCCCUUACCAACAAUCCUCUCUCAGCCGUUUUAAGCACCCCAAAUUGGCCCCAAGAUUCAUUGGUCCAUUUAUGAUCGUGGCACGAAUUGGUUUCGUUGCAUAACGUUUGGCCUUUCCCAAGGAAUCGCUUAUACACCCAUCUUUCAUGUUUCUGUUCUUCGCAAGGUCGUGAGUUCAAACAGGCCAUUAUUCCCAAUUCCAAAAGAUUUGGCUGCUGAUUUGUCUAUGCAAGUGUCUCCAGUAGAAGUAUUGGGAGUUCGCAAAACAAUAGAAAAGGAGGACAACUUAGAAGUUUUGAUCCGUUGGAGUGAGGGGACACUUGAAAGUGCAACAUGGGAACAAGCUGCUCUUAUUCAAGAACAGUUUCCUGAAUUCCACCUUGAGGACAAGGUGGCUCUUUGGGGGGCGGAUAAUGAUAGACCUCCCAUAGUAAACGUGUAUUCCCGUAGAGACAAGAAUAGGAAGAAGAAAGAAUGAUUGAGAGUUAGUUGGUAUUUUUCUAUUUGUGUGGGCCCUUAGGAAUGUGUUUGUUAGAGUGGGGCCAAGUAUUUUGUUAUUUCUCUGAGCAAUUACUUAAGUGUCUUGAGUGGGAGGGUAUGGGUAUCUUUUUGGACAUAUGGGUCAACUGUCAAGCACAAGAUGCUGCCUACUUUCAGAUGAGCAACAUCAUUCCGAUCUUAACAGUCAGAAGAGCAAAUCAAAUCAAUCCUAGCAUAUUCACAAAUCACAACUAAAAAGUACAAACAUUACAAAAUAAAACAUGCAGCGAUAUCAACAAGCAUUCUGAUAAAUAAUUAGCCAAUUAAUUGACAUUACAAAAUAAAUAAAGAAAAACAAGCAUUCUGAUAUUUUUCUAUUUGUGCGGGCAGCCGAUGUUUACAAAACAGCGUUUCGAACCCACGAGGGGCCCUAUGAAUUCCUUGUGAUGCUGUUUGGGUUGAAACGCUCCGGCAACAUUCCAAUCAAUCAUGAGUGAUGUUCUUCGCCCAUAUUUACGCAAGUUUGUUUUGGUUUUCUUUGAUGACAUCUUAAUUUACAGCAAGUCCUUGGACGAGCAUUUGCACCAAUUGGCAAUGGUUUUGGAAACUCUAGUAGCUCAUCAACUGGUAGCCAACUUUAAAAAAUGCCAAUUUGCGGUUGACAAAAUUGAAUACUUGGGCCAUGUUAUUUCUUCAGAGGGGGUGGCAGCGGAUCCAACAAAAAUAGAAGCGAUGGUUAAAUGGCCAGCACCCAAGAACGUGAAGGAGCUAGGUGGGUUUUUUGGGGCUAACGGGGUAUUAUCGGAAAUUCGUUGCAAACUACGGUUCUAUUGUGCUGCCCCUCUUGACACAACUGUUAAAAAAGGUAACUUUAAGUGGAAUGAGACGACUGAGAACGCAUUUCAGCAGUUAAAAGUCAGCAAUGAUGUCUGUCCCAGUGCUAGGUAUUCCUGAUUUUUCACAAAGUUUUGUGCUGGAAACUGAUGCUUUGGGUGUGGGUAUUGGGGCUGUCCUAAUGCAAAAUCAACGACCAGUGGCCUUUUUCAGUCAAGCUUUACCUAUUACCCAUAGGUUUAAGGCUGUUUAUGAACGGGAGAUUAUGGCAAUAGUGCUGGCUGUUCAAAAAUGGCGACCAUAUCUAUUGGGUAAGCCUUUUGUGGUGCGUACAGAUCAGAAAAGUUUGAAGUUUCUUCUUGAACAACGGGCUAUCGGGGGAGAAUAUCAGAGAUGGAUCGUUAAACUAUUGGGGUAUGAUUUUGUGAUUGAGUACAAGAAAGGAUUGGAAAACAAAGCGGCCGAUGCCUUAUAGAGAUUACCACCGGUAUUUGAAUUGGGCCUCGUAAGUAUUGUGGGCGGGCUAAACCCUUCAGUUUUCAUCGAUCAAGUGGCUGGAAAUGAAUCUCUUAACAAUAUUCGACUAUCCUUGAUAAAUGGACAACAAGCUCCAGAGGGAUAUUCGCUACAAGGAGGAGGAUUCACCUGAUAUUACUUUAUUAUUAGCUGAAUUCCAUAACAGCCAGAUAGGGGGACAUCAUGGUGCAUUGAAAACAUAUCAAAGGCUAGCAAGGGAGGUAUAUUGGCGAGGUAUGACAGCCCAUAUCCGCACCUAUGUUGCUGAAUGUUCCGUGUGUCAACAAGCCAAAUACUUGUCUUUAACUCCGGCUGGUUUCCUUCAAGCAUUACCCAUUCCGGACUGUGUGUGGGAAGAUAUUAGUAUGGAUUUUAUUGAGGGCCUCCCCAAAUCCGAGGGUUAUGAUGUUAUAUUGGUAGUUGCGGAUCUUCUUUCCAAGUAUGCACAUUUCAUCCCCUUGAAACAUCCAUUUGGUGCAAAAGUGGUUGCUGCUGUUUUUAUGCGAGAGAUUAUUCGUUUGCAUGGAUGCCCCUGAAGUAUAGUGUCGGAUCGUGAUCGUAUUUUCACAAGUCUAUUAUGGGAAGAGUUGUGGAGGUUGUUGGAAACUCAGUUGAGACGAAGCACCACUUACCACCCCCAAACAGAUGGUCAAACGGAAGUUGUCAAUCGAGGGGUGGAGACGUAUCUAGGGUGUUUUUCUAUGAACACACCUAAACAAUGGGUUAAAUGGCUAGCUUGGGCUGAAUUGAGCAAUAAUACAACAGUCCGUACAGCCACAUUGAUGACCCCCUUCGAGGCCCUCUAUGGGCGACCACCCCCCUCUAUAUUACCAUAUGUGAAGGGCUCGAGCCAGGUGAAUGAUGAAGUAGACCAUUUGAUGAAAGAAAGAGAUGAAAUUUUGGGCGUUUUGAAGGCCAAUUUACUGAAAGCACAGCAGCGAAUGGUCAAAUAUGCUAAUGCUAAAAGACGGGAGGUGCAGUUUGAGGUUCAUGAUUGGGUUUAUGUGAAGUUACGCCCUUACCGACAGUCCUCUCUCAGCCGUUUUAAGCACUCCAAAUUGGCCCCAAGAUUCAUUGGUUCAUUUAUGAUCGUGGCACGAAUUCGUUUCGUUGCAUACCGUUUGGCCCUUCCCAAGGAAUCGCUUAUACACCCGGUCUUUCAUGUUUCUGUUCUUCGCAAGGUCGUGGGUUCAAACAGGCCAUUAUUCCCAAUUUCAAAAGAUUUGGCUGCUGAUUUGUCUAUGCAAGUGUCUCCGGUAGAAGUAUUGGGAGUUUGCCAAAACAAUAGAAAAGGAGGACAACUUAGAAGUUUUGAUCCGUUGGAGUGAGGGGACACUUGAAAGUGCAACGUGGGAACAAGCUGCUCUUAUUCAAGAAACAGUUUCCUGAAUUCCACCUUGAGGACAAGGUGGCUAUUUGGGGGGCGGGUAAUGAUAGACCUCCCAUAGUAAAGGUGUAUUCCCGUAGAGACAAGAAUAGGAAGAAGAAAGAAUGAUUGAGAGUUAGUUGAUAUUUUUCUAUUUGUGUGGGCCCUUAGGAAUGUGUUUGUUAGAGUGGGGCCAAGUAUUUUGUUAUUUCUCUAAGUAAUUACUUAAGUUUCUUGAGUGGGAGGGUAUGGGUAUCUUUUUGGACAUAUGAUUUUGGUAUAGACUCUCAUUAGAGAAGUGUGUAGAGAUUGGGGAGCUCUCAAAUCCUCCCCCACAGUUGAUAAAUAAAAUUUUGGCUAAAGCCUUGACAAAAGCUAAUGUAGAACAUCCCCUUCUUUAUGUUUCUUGAGUUUUAUCCUAGAGGAGGUGUUUGAAUUACCAUUUUUAUAGUUUAGGAUUAGUUAUUUGAAUUAACAAUUUUGUAUCUUGAGUUAGUUAUAAGUAAACUAACUCAACCCCAAGUUAGUUUAACAACUCUUGUAAUCUCCAGCCUAUAAAAAGGCUUCUCAUUUUCAUUAAUAAAUCAUAAAAAAAAAGGCAUUAUACAUAAAGAUUUCCUAGCUUUGCAAUUACAGCACCAAAAGCAAUGUACAGUUCAGAUGAGACUUUAUUCCAGUAUAGAGUAGCUCUGUAAUUGCAGAUCAAGAAAGUGAAUGUAGCAUGGAAAUCCCAAAUUCAAUGUUUGGAAGUUAGCAAUUGACAAUCUCAUUAGUAGGAAGACAGCAGAUUAUUAGCAAAUUCAAUGUGAUUGAGAUCUUUUAGCAUGACUACUUGAGAACUUUUAGCACAACCGCGGCAGCAACUUCAAUAACAGAAAAACAUGCAUAAUGUAGGAAGACAGCAGAUUUCAAAUUAUGACAUUGUAUUUAUGAACGUCAGGCGAUACAUUAAUGUUCCAAAAUUCAACCAAAGUAUGGGGUGAAAGAUAUAUAAGAAUCUUCCAUGAUAAGGCCAAGACCAGGAUAUCCUUAUCCAAAAAAAGAAAAAACUAAUCAACCAAAGUAAAUUCCAUGUAUGAUUGGGAAUUAUGGCCAUACCUUUGCCAAAAGAACUUCGAGGAAAUGGAAAAGCUGGAGAUGUUGCUCAUGUAUCAUUCCCGAACCAGGAUUGGGGUAGAGCAAAUGGUCAGCGAUUUGCUGGAUUACCAAGCAGAAAAUAACUUAUAUUAGAAAAAAUGAACAAUACAUACCCACAUAUUACUGAAAUUUUAUGAAAUAGAUUUCAAGCAACCAAUUUUUAUAUUGAAAUGUGAUCUCACAACUAUUUUUAUUUUGAAAAGCGAUUUCAAACAACUAUGGCUGUUUCAUCACGCUUCAUGUUAUCCAAUAAUACUACAGGAUUAACAAAGCCAUGCCAUGCUAAUAAUAAGGAAUGUCGUGAUAACCUUAAAUAAACCAUACUGCACGUCAAAGGCUGCCCGUGUAAUGUUCUCCAUGACAUCUUUAAAAAUACCACCACCAUCAAUUCCUGCCUCCUCAACUCCAAAAUUCAUUAACAAAAGACACACGUAUCUGCAUGCAGAAAAGUGAAGCAAUUGACCCAACACAAACAAGAAAAAACUAAUAAACAAUUACAAGUAACUCUGCAACUAUAGGAUGCAGAAGAGGGAAGGGGUCGUUUUCACGAGGGCAAAGAAAAAGAUAGAAAAAAGUAAGAUAACAAUUUCAUUUUUCAUAAAUCAUGGAAGUCUGAAAUUACCGAUCCUCGAAGAUCAACUUCAGACAAUGCACUCAUCUGACUGAAAGCAUCUUCCAAUAUAUGAUUUCGUCGAAUUCUAAACCGGUUUUCUGGCAAAAACAGCAAGAGAUCCAUUCCUUUGCCUAGCUGCUGCUAGUUGUGUCUGUGAAAUGAGUUAUAGAGAAAGUAACCAUAAAUAAAAAAUAUCUUACAUAUUUCUAUAACUAACAGUCAUCCAAGAAAUUCAAUAUUGUGGAUAAGGAAACCAAAAAAAAUAACUUGCUUACAGUGAAAAUCUUAACCCUGCUAGUAAACGGUACUAAAAAGGGAACUCGCUUGUGUAUAUCAUUUGCUCUGGUAUUUUCCAUCACUGCCUACAAAGAAACAAGGCCAAGUAAAUAAUUAGAAUUACGAUCAGAUAGUGGUUUCUCUCAUGGAAAUUCCAUUGCAAAAUGGAAGGUUCACUUGGUCUAGAGAUGGUAAUUCUCCUUGAAGAUCAUUAUUAGACAGAUUCUUCAUAAAUCAGAUGUGGGAUAUUUGUUUUGAAAAUUCUCGGGUUUCUCGAAAAGCACGCAUCUUCUCGGAUCACUUUCCUUUAUUCUUGGAGGCUGGUUCUUUUCUUUGGGGUCCCUCUCCUUUUCGGUUUUGUAACAGCUGGUUGGUGUCCAGUGAUUCUAAUCAGAUUAUUGUUGAAACAGUGAGCAACUCUAACUUCCAGGGAUGGGCUGGUUUCAUUCUUCAUGAGGCAGUUGAGAUCAGUUAAAUUGGCAGUAAAAAGCUUGGAAUAUUGCUGCGCAAGCUAAGGUAAAAAAAAAACAGAGAAAUCCUUGAUGUCAAAAUUAGAAAAAUAUGAUUCUGUGGCUGAGUUUGAUUGGAUUAAAUCAAGAAGAGUUGAAUUCUAGAGCUGCUUUGCAAGCGGAAUUACUUAGUAUUUAUCAAAACGAAGAGCGUAAUUUUAUUCAGAAGAGUAAACUCAAUUGGCUUUCUUUGGGUGAUGAGAAUACGGGCUUCUUCCACCGGUUUCUAAAUGCGAAAAAAAGAAGGAACCUCAUAACUGAAUUAAAAAAUGAUUGAUGGGGUUGUCUCGACUUCAUUCCGCGACAUUGAAAGGGCUUGUGCUGGAAUUUUUUUGAGUCACUUUAUACCAGAAUUCCGGGGGACAGAUUCAUCCCUAUUAACAGUAAUUGGUCUUGUGUUUCCUCAAUUCAGAAUGAGCGCUCUUGUUACCCAAUUUUCAGUGGAGGAGAUCUUUAAGGCAUUAAAGGCACUUUGGCAACAAUAAAGCUCCGGGCCCGGAUGGCUUCACAGUGAAGUUCCUAAUCACCCAAUGGUCUAUUUUCAAGGAUAUCUUCAAAUCACUAAUGUCUGAUUUCCACAGAAAUAGAAGAUUAAAUGCUUGCAUCCAAGAAAACUUUAUUUGUUUAGUGCAGAAAAAAGAGAAUGUGACUCUAGUCAAGGAUUUCCGUCCAAUCAGCCUUACUACGUUAGCAUACAAGGUCGUUGCAAAGGUUUUAUCUGAACGUCUAAAACAAGUUAUGGAUGCAAUUAUAAGCCCCACUCAAAGCGCCUUUAUUGAAGGUAGGCAAAUUCUUGACCCAAUAUUAAUUGCUAACGAGGCCGUGGAAGAUUAUAGGGCAAAAUGGAAAAAAGGAUGGAUUUUAAAACUUGACUUGGAAAAAGCCUUCGAUAGGGUGAAUUGGAACUUUUUAGAAAAAAAUUUAUCUUUGAAAAAGUUUAGUUCAAAAUGGACAUCAUGGAUAAUGGGCUGCCUAAAAAUUCCAAAGUAUUCAAUCUUCAUCAAUGGUAAGCCUAGAGGCCGGAUAACAGCAUCUAGAGGUAUCCGCCAAGGGGACCCCCUCUCCCCCUUUUUAUUCCUCCUAGUAAGUGAGGUUUUAGGAGAAAUCAUAAACAAGCUUCAUAUUAACAGCCAGUUUGAAGGUUUCCUUGUUGGCAAAGACUUGAUCCACCUCCCUUUGCUUCAAUUUGUCGAUGAUACUCUUCUCUUUUGUAAGUAUGAUGUGAAGAUGCUCCUUAAACUUUAAAACGUCAUUAGUUUAUUCGAAUGGUGUUUGGGGCAGAAAGUAAACUGGGAAAAAUCAGCCCUUAGCGGCGUUAAUGUGGGAGAGGAAGAUUUGUUUCAAACAACAAAUCUGAUAGGGUGCAAGGUAGAAAAGCUUCCGAUUAUAUAUUUAGGUCUCCUUUUGGGAGGCUACCCUCGACAAAAGUCUUUUUGGCAACCAGUCAUUGAUCGAAUUCACAAGAAACUUGAAAGGUGGAAAAGAUAUAACAUCUCUAGAGGCGGAAGACAAACCUUAUGCAACUCAGUUCUGGUUAGCCUUCCUACAUACUACCUACUUUAUUUUCUAUACCUGAAAAUGUGGCUGCCUCUUUGUUAAAGUGAGUUUUUGGAUUGAAGGAAAAGGUCUGCAAUACUCCUUGAAAGACAGGGGAAGCAGAAGAUUGGUGUUCUAUAUUCUGGUUUGCUUAUUAGUAUUUUGUUGUUUGGAAUUUUGGAUUAGGAGGUUUUCUUUGUUUGAUGUUUGUGAAUUAUAUGUAACGUGACUCAUUUUCUGAGGUUCACGGUUUGCUUAUGUUGUAAGUUGUGUUUGAAUUGUCAAUAUAAUAGAAACACUACAUCAGUGUUCUAUCAUGAUGUCAUCCUUGGAAUGCAAUGGCUGCACACGUUGGGGUAACUGAAGUGGAUUGGCGGAAACUCACUUUAAUUUUCAUACAAAAUGAAAAGAAUGUUGUUAUAAGGGGUGACCCGAGUUUGACAAAGACUAGAGUGAGUCUGUAACACAUGAUGGAGAAAUGGACACCAUCUGAUUACGGUUUCUUGACAAAAUGUCGAGCUAUGGAGGGAGGAAUGACAUUUACCGAACUAUAUGGAAUUGAUGAUGUUCCUACAUUUCAAGAGUUACUACCAGCAGACAAUUUUGGCUAUCCUAAAAAUCCAGCAACAAAGAAGUGGGAAGUGCUUGUUAGUUGGAAAGGAAUACCACCUCAUGAGGCUACAUGGGAGAAUUGUGAUGAUUUUACACAAAAGCUUCCUCAUUUCCCACCUUGAGAACAAGGUGUCUUUGGAGAGGGAGAGUAAUGAUAGACCACCAAUUGCAAUACGAUAUAGCAGAAGAAAGACAAGUGGAAUUGCACGUGCACAGGUGAUGGAAUUGGAGGAAGUGGAAACCACCUUAGUGGGGACAACAGUUAGUUACAGGGGGGAGGUUAAAAGGGAGAGAUGGAAGGAAAGAUGGGGGUUGGUUAAUCAGUUUCUGGAAGUGGAGGGGCUGUAUUUUCUGGAGAGCAGAAUUACAGAAGUUGUUCAGUUUAAUCUUAGAAAGUGUUUUCCAUUAUCGUAAACUACUUUUGAUGUUUGAAUGUUUUAUUUUGUACUUGGUUAUUGUCUGUAAUAGUACUUAUUUGUUCUGUGUUUUCAAGACUGGUUUGAGUAUUGUAUUCUGUAAUAGUUUGGUUGCUUAAUGAACAAAUAAGAACCAUUACUUGGUGUUCUAUCAGCUUCUCAAUCAAGCAUUAACAUCUCAAUAAGGUAUUAUACAUGCAAUCAAACAAUCACAACAUACAUACCAUUUACUCGAAACGACCUAAAACAUGCUCAAAACGUGUCUAAGUUUCACUUGAACUUUCAAAACGACCUAAAACAGCUUACGUGUAGGUUCGUAACUCAUAACCUACGAAAAAAGUUCAAAUAUUGUGAAAAAAGCACUACAAGACCCAAAAUGGCAACCGAGUGUGUAAGUGCAACAAACUUAAUUCAAACCAACCUAAAAUGUGCUCAAAACGUGUCUAGGUAUUACUUGAGUUUUCAAAACGACCUAGCAAAUCCUAAGUGUAAGUUCGUAACUCAUAAUCUACCAAAAAGGUUGAAAAAAGCAUUUCAAGACCAAAAAUGACAACCAAGUGCAACAAACUCAAUCUAACCUAAAAUGUAUUCAAAACGUGUGUAAGUAUCACUUGAAUUUUCAAAACGACCAAGCAAUGCUUAAGUGUAAGUUUGUAACUCACAACCUACCAAAAUUUCAAAAAGUAUGAAAAAAGUACUUCAAGACCCAACAUGUCAAUCAAAUGUGUGUAAAACUUAGUUUCAAACCAACCUAAAACGAGUUCAAAACGUGUCUAAGUUUCACUUGAACUUUCAAAACGACCUAACAAAUAUUCAAUACAAGUUCAUAAGUCAUAACCUAGCAAAAAGUUCAAAAUUUUUGAAAAAGACACUCCAAAACCCAAAAUGUCAAGUGUGUAAGUGCAACGAACUUAGUUCUAUACAAACCUAACAAGUAUUGAAAACACGUAUAAGUUUUCAAACACCCUAACAACGCUUAAGUGUAAGUUUAUAACUCAUAACUUACCAAAAAUUUCAAAAAGUGUGAAAAAAAAUCUUUCAAGACUCAAAAUGGCAACCAUGGCUGUAUGUAAAACUAACUUAGUUUGUAACAACCUAAAAGGUGUUCAAAAAAUGUUUAAGUAUCACUCGAACUUUAAAAACGACCUAAUAAUGCUUUAGUGUUACUUCAUAACUCAUAACCUACCAAAAAGUUCAAAAAAUGUAGAAAAAGCACUCCAAAAUCCAAAAUGGCAACCAAGUGUGUAAGUGCAACAAACUUAGUCUCAACUUUAAAAUUAGUGCGAGUUGGGAAAUGUAUUAACUCAAGCAUGAUGUAAAAACUUGAAACGACUUAAAUAUUUAUUCACCAUCACAUAAAAACAGUAAUUAAAUAUAGAUAACAUGUGUAAAUAAAGGGAGAAUCACCUUUCUAGCAGUAGCUUUAGAGUAAGACCAAACACCAUCCUCCUACUUGUAAAUCUGCUCGAUUGUCUACUUUGUUCUACACUCGUCAUUUCACCAUCUCAGGCCAUCCAUUGAAUUGGCCACCCAGCCUUGGCAUACAAGAGUAUGUCUCAGCCUGUUAACAAAUACCACUAAAACUAAGCAAGACGAAGAAAAAAGUUUUCAAAAAAUUACCUAACUUUUAGGUCUUCAUGUGACCUUUAAGUACUUCUGUUUUCUCCUUCAACUCUUUGACAGAUUGCUGAAAUUAUGUGUUUCUGCAAUGUUUACCAGAACAUGAAAGAUUCAUUACGAAAAUAAAUACCAUGAAUACAAACCAUGAAGAAAUAGUAAAACAGUCAAUACAAGAAGAAAAAAGUUCACUUGAAAACGACCUAAAACAGUAUCACUUGAACAAAAUGUGUCUAAGUAUCACUUGAACUUUCAAAACGACCUAAAACAGCUUACGUGUAGGUUCGUAACUCAUAACCUACGAAAAAAGUUCCAAUAGUGUGAAAAAAGCACUACAAGACCCAAAAUGGCUACCAAGUGUGUAAGUGUAACAAACUUAGUUCAAACCAACCUAAAACGUGCUCAAAACGUGUCUAGGUAUUACUUGAGUUUUCAAAACGACCUAGCAAAUCCUAAAUGUAGGUUCGUAACUCAUAUAAUCUACCAAAAAGGUUGAAAAAAGCAUUUCAAGACCAAAAAUGACAACCAAGUGCAACAAACUCAAUCUAACCUAAAAUGUAUUCAAAACAUGUUGAGCCAACAAAGAUACACACCAGCAAACUUUUGAACAUAGGACCCUCCUAAACUACUCACUUUUGAACAUAGGACUUCCUCAACUAUCUACUCACUUCUGAACAUACAACCUUGAUAGAACACUUAUGUACUGUUUCUAUUAUAUUGAUAUUUGAGACUUAAAGUUGCAAUAGAAAGAAAAUUACAGAGAAAUUACAAACAACAAGCAAAGAAACCCUCCUAAUCCAAAACAGAAAUAAACACAAUUCAAAAUACUACAAUUAAAACCAGAACAAUUCUGGCAGGCCCUUCCUUUUACUAAAAACUGCCUGCCCUUUCCCAUCUCCCUCUCAUCCAUUUAACUUCCUGUUUUAGAUAACUGUCAUCCUUUUGAAUAAGUAACUGUGUUGAUUACUAACGUGCCUUACUUUCCUUUCUUCUAUUAUAAGUAAAAUAACAAUGGUGGUCUAACAGACCUCCUAAACUAUCCACUCUAGAGCAUGUUAAAUCACCAAUUCAUCCAAAAACUAAUGACGUAAAUGUAAUAUUAUAUCUUCAACGUAAAUGUAAAUGUAAACUAAUGACACUACAAGUGAUUUUGAAACUAAGACAUUGAAGCAGUCUGUUAGGAAGGGUGAUGGAACCAGCAAGAGUGGGGGGAGUUCUUUAAAACAAUCAGAGGUCAAGAGAAAGAAGGGAUCAGCUAAAUCUAUUUCUGGAAAAAACGUGAAAAGAUUGUCAGGUGAUGAUGAUAAAAAGGAAACCACACCUGUGCUGAAACCAGCCUCCAAAAAUUGGAAGUAAAUCAAAGGAUCAAGGCACUCUUGAAAUUGGAAGUAAACGUGGUAGCACAGGUCCAAAAAUCGCUGGCAAGUCGAAGAAUGAUGAUGCCGAAUCCAACAAGACUAGCAAAUCUAAGGACGAUGAGACAUCCACACCUGCCGCUGUUGCAAAGUCCAACAAGCAAGAUGUAUCGAAGACGGGGAAGUCCAAACAAGAAACCCCAAAAACUCCCGUUUCAAAAGGCAAGUCUACCAAAACAGGCGAUAAGUCUAAUAAUACCAAUCUCUCCACCAAGGUUAAGUUCACAUCUUCAAAAGCAAAAGAAAAAGAAAGUGGAGAUGUGAAGCAUUCAUCAACUUCUGGGAAAACAAUGGAGAACUCAAAGGGAAAGUCACUAAAUUCAUCCAAUGAUCAGGGCAGUGAAUCCAAGUCAGGAAAGAAAAGAAGAAGAGAGUCAAAAGGUUGAUAACCACGUCUAUUCCAAAAAGGUUGGAGUUGUCUAUUCUUGGCUCAGUUUGCACCACAUAUUUGCAAAUUCUACUAUGAGUAGUUCUUGGCAAACUUGAUCUCUGGAUCUGAUGAUGUCUCUCAUUGGCACAUUUUCGAGAUUGUCGUAUAUUCUUAGUUAGGUAGGUUAGCAGCAAUUAUAGGAGUAUGGCAGUUCUCUUUGUAGUUGUUUGGCGCUAUUCAUGUCAUCUGUGGGAGGUAAAUGACCAAUAAAAAAUAAUACGCAAUAAAAAAGAAUCAGAAAGAAAACAAUAUGCAUUUUUGUUUUCAAAUUCUUGGUGAAAUCACAAUUCAGAAAUGAAAUUUGGUUCAUUCUCCACGAUAAUAUGGUGACCUAAAUAACAUAAGUUUCAGAGUCAUGGGAGAUUAAAAGCCUUGCUAAUUGCUCAAACUCUGAAUGCAAAGGCUUUUCCCAUGUGAAGGAACCCAGAGAACCAGCCAAAGCAGCAUGCUUCUUCCCAAUGCAAGAACAUUCAGUGUAUCUUCUGAUUAUGUACUGAAUGCAGUAGGAAAAAUGAUAUGAAGUUGUAAUUCAAGCUAAGGUUUUGUUGCAUAAACCAAAAACUUAAAUGGAUAAAACACAAAAUGCAUCCUAUUCCCACCUUAUGCCUACUACAUCGCUAACAAUACACUUACUGCAGCACCAAGAUACAGCUUGUAGCCAAAUUUCAGAAGGAAAAAAUAUAUUCAGAUUUCUGCAUAUCGAGAAUUCGGUGAAACGCACCUGAGUUUAUUUACUCAACUAAUCCACAACAAUUUGUGAUAUGAACACUCUUGGCAGAGGUCCAUUGACCCCAUCACCAUCGGCAGCAGCAUUAGAAAUGAGCUGUUUCCACCAACAUAUUACUACAUUGAACCAAGCAAGGAAGGACCAAAAACAGUGUAAAUGGGACGUAUGGUUACUCCAUUUUCCCUGUUGUUGGGUCCAAAACUACCCAUCGCUCAUUCCAUUUCCUCAACUGCAAACAUUGUAAUAGAGAAAAUCAGAUUUGCUACAAUGAAGGCUCAUUGCCAUAAAAAAUGCUGUCUAAGAACAGAAACGCAGAAAAUAGAAGGCUGAUCAAACGUGACCACAAUUCUGCAUAUGCGCACUACAAAACAGUCUGAGAAUACUAUCACAUCGACGGCCAUAUUCAUAAACACAAAUAUGCCGACAGUUAGAUCACGAACAUGGGCAUUUCUCACAUUUCUAAUCUCCUUGAAAUCACAAAUCCCGACGUCCUAAUCUUAAUAAGUACUUCUAGGUGAUUUAAUUAAGUCUUCAAAUAUCACUAAAACAGUCGGAACGAUUUAAAUGGAAGACCUAAAGGCAGCGCAAUUAAGCAGUAACCAUCAAUUCAAAACAAAAGGAAAGACAGAAAGAGUUGCAAUGCGUUAGUUUACUGUUUCAGAUCGCUUUAGAAGGGGACCCUGCAACAAAUUCCGACCAGACCCAGAGGCCAGCUGCCGCUUGAUCUUCUCCAAACUGUCCCCGGCAUCUUCCGCUCUCUCCACCAACAACAAUCAUAAAUUAAAAACAUGUCGAGCCAACAAAGAUACACACCAGCAAACUUUUGAACAUAGGACCCUCCUAAACCUUAAACAGAUUUUGCAGUGGGCUUCCGACUCAAAUAAACAGCCUCCAUGCUCCCCAAAACGUUCCUAAGAAAGGAUUCAUCUCCCUACCAACCAACAUGCAUCACAUCCCAUAACUUUCAUUUCUUCAUAAAAAAUGUAACUAACUCAAGGUAAAAAAAAAAAAAAAACAGAACAAGAACACUAACCAACUUCUAAGGAAUCAGCUCCCUGCCAACAUGCACCACAUCCCAUAACUUUAAUUUCUUCAAAUACAAAGGAUUUAACUCAAAGUAAAAAAAAAAAAACAGAACACGAACUCUAACCAACAAAAAUAGAAAAACCAACCUUAACCCUUGAUCCUUGCAGUCCAUCGAGAGGUUCAGCACUGGACAUGAUCGAGAACAUUCGGUUCCCAGCCACAGGUUUGGCCAUCGACGAAGAUUUUCAGAGGGAAAUGAAAUUUUUGGAAAUGGGUAGUGAACAAAAGUAAGGCUGAAAUGAUUUUGUUUGGAGAGUGGGCAAAAUUCUGGCGAGUGAGGAGAAAAGGGAAUACAUGGGGUUCGGUUUACAGGGAUUUUUCUUAAUGAUUGUUGGAAGAACAAAGAGAUUGUGAGGAGAUUUAAGGGUAACGACACAAAUGCAGAAUGUUAAAUCCAAAAAGGCGAAAUGGCCAAUUGAAUAUUUAAGGAAGUUUGAUCUGCCUGCUAGCUGUUUUCUUGCUUCUUUAUGGAAAUGUUGCAGAAAGAGUAGAACGAUGACAUAGUGCAUAAUGUGUUUCUCUUUACAAAGUAACCAAUGACUUACAAGAAAGACACCACACAACAAAUGACCAUUGGAAAACAAUAUACAUAUGAAAAGCUAAAAAAAUUUGCAGAAAUUGAAAAUGAAAUUUAAAGUAGAAAAGAAAUGAAAGAAAAAUACCCUAAAAGUUGCAAGUGCAAUAUGAUCAUAACCAAUUAGUAUCACCAUCAAAAGAUCGAACAAGCUCCAAAGUGGAUUUUACAGUGUGAUUCUGACUCACAUAAGCAGUCUCCAGGACUGCAAAACCAUUUCUAAGAAAGGAUCAUCACAACCCAUAACUUUAAAUUCUUCAAAAACAAUGCAAUGAAAUCAAAUCAGAAAAAAACAGAACAACAAUAACUAAAAAAUAAACCUUAACCCUUGAUCCUUGCAGUCCAUUGGAAGGUUCGGCACUCGACAAGAUCGAGAACAAUCGAUUCCUAGCAGCAGGUUUCGACAUCGACAAAGAAUUUCCGAGGGAAAUGAAAAUUUUGGAAAUGAGUAGUGAAGAAAAAUAAGGUUGAAACGAUUUUGUUUGGGGAGUGGGAAAAAUUAUGGCCGAUGGGGAGAAAAGGGAAGACAUGGGGUUCGGUUUACAGGGAUUUAACAAAGACAUUGUGAGGAGAUUUAAGGGCAACGACAAGAAUGGCAGAAUGUUAAAACCCAAAAGACUAAAUGGCCAAUUGAAUGUUUAAGCAGAUUGAUCUGCCUAUUAGUUGUUUUCUUGCUUCUUUACGGAAAUGGGGUAGAAAGAGUAGAACGAUAACAUAGUUCACUUUGUUCUUCUCUUUAUAAAGUAGCCAAAGACUUAAAAGAAAGACAUUGCACAACAAGUGACCAUUAAAAAAUAAUAUACAUACGAAAGAAUAAAAAAUAAGCAGAAAUUGGAAGUAGAAAAGAACCAAAGAAAAAUACCCAAAACUUCAAAAUGCAAUAUGAUCAUAACAGAUUGGUAUCAUCACGAACAGAUCGAACAAACUCCAAAACAGAUUUUGCAUUGGGCGUCCAACUAAAAUAAACAGCAUCCAUGCUCGCCAAAACGUUCCUAAGAAGUGACACCAUUUCACAACAAGUAGCCAAUGACUUAAAAGAAAGAUAUUGCACAACAAGUGACCAUUAGAAAAUAAUAAACAGAAGAAAGAAUAAAAAGAUAAGCAGAAAUUGGAAGAAGAAAAGAAAUGGAAGAAAAAUACCCCAAAACUUCAAAAUGCAGUAUGAUCAUAACAAAUUUGUAUCAUCAUGGACAGAUCGAACAAACUCCAAAACAGAUUUUGCAGCGGGCUUCCGACUCAGAUAAACAGCCUCCAUGCUCCCCAAAACGUUCCCAAGAAAGGAUUAAGCUCCCUACAAAAAACAAUGUAACUAACUCAAGGUAAAAAAAAAAAACAGAACAAGAACACUAACCAACUUUUAAGGAAUCAGCUCCCUGCCAACAUGCAUCACAUCCCAUAACUUUAAUUUCUUCAAAUACAAAGGAUUUAACUCAAAGUAAAAAAAAAAACAGAACACGAACUCUAACCAACAAAAAUAGAAAAACCAACCUUAACCCUUGAUCCUUGCAGUCCAUCGGGAGGUUCGGCACUGGACAUGAUCGAGAACGUUCGGUUCCCAGCCACAGGUUUGGCCAUCGACAAAGAUUUUCAGAGGGAAAUGAAAUUUUUGGAAAUGGGUAGUGAACAAAAAUAAGGCUGAAUGAUUUUGUUUGGAGAGUGGGCAAAAUUCUGGCGAGUGAGGAGAAAAGGGAAUACAUGGGGUUCGGUUUACAGGGAUUUUUCUUAAUGAUUGUUGGAAGAACAAAGAGAUGUGACGAGGUAAAUGUAAUAUUAUAUCUUCUAACCAUUGUCAACUUAAAUAUGUUUUUUACUAUAACCAGUGGGUUUGCUGAAAUUGAAUGAUCAAUCCAUAAAAUAAAAAUUAAGUUGGAAGUAGAAGAAAUGGGAGGAAGAAAAAUACCCCAGAAGUUCUAAAAGCGAUAUGAUCUCAAUAAAUUGUAUCAUGAUGAACAGAUCGAACAAGCCCCAAAACAGAUUUUGCAGUGGGAUUCCGACUCGGAUAAACUGACUCCAUGCUCAACAAAACAUUCCUAAUAAAGGAUUCAGCUUGCUAUCAACAUGCAUCACAACCCAUGACGUUAAAUUCUUCAAAACCAAUGCAAUUAAAUCAAAGCAGAAAAAAACAGAACAAGAACUCAAACCAACGAUAACAAAAGAAUAAACCUUAACCCUUGAUCCUUGCAGUCCAUUGGGAGGUUCAGCACCGGACAUGAUUGACAACAAUCGAUUCCCAGCUGCAGGUUUCGGUAUCGACAAAGAAUUUCCAAGGAAAUGAAAAUUUUGGAAAUGGGUAGUCAAGAAAAUUAAGGUUGAGAGGAUUUUGUGUGGAGAGUGGGAAAAAUUCCGGCCGGGGGGAGAAAAGGGAAGACAUGGGGUUCGGUUUACAGGGGUUUUUCUUAAUGAUUGUUGGAAGAACAAAGAGGUUGUGAGGAGAUUUAAGGGCAACCAAAAGAAUGGCAGAAUGUUUGAUCUGGCUUGCUUCUUUAUGGAAAUGUCGUAGAAACAGUAGAACGAUGACAUAGUUCCCUUUGUUUUUCUAUUCACCAAAAAACCAAUGACUUAAAAGAAAGACAUUGCACCACAUAUGAGCAUUAGAAAACAAUAUACAUAAGAAAGAAUAAAUAAUAUGAAUAUGCAGAUAUUGAAAAUGAAAUUGGAAGUAGAAAAAAAAAUGGAACGAAGAACAAUACCCCAAAAUUUCCAAAUGCAUUAUGAUCAUAAAAAUUUUGUAUCAACACGAACUGAUCGAAUAAGCUCCAAAAUGGAUAUUGCAGUGGGAUUCCGACUCAGAUAGGCAGUGUACAGUCUUGCCAAAACGUUCCUAAGAAAGGAUCAUCAAAACCCAUAACUUUAAAUUCUUCAAAAAUAAUGGAAUUAAGUCAAGGCAGUACAAUACGAAACAAAAACUCUAACCAACGAUAAGAAAGAAAUAAACCUUCACCCGUGAUCCUUGCAGUCCAUUCGGGGGUUCAGCACUGGACUUGAUCGAGAACAAUCAGUUCCAAGAUGCAGGUUUCGGCAUAGACGAUGAUUUUCCAAAAAGUGAAAUGAAUUUUUUGGAAAUGGGUUGUAAAGAAUUUGUUUCGAGAGUGGGCAAAAUUCUGGCCGGCGUGGAGAAAAGGAAAGACAUGGGGCUCCAAUUCUAGGGAUCUUUCUCAAUGAUUGUUGGGAGAACAAAGAGUUUGUGAGGACAUUUAAGGGCAACGACAAGAAUGGCACAAUGUUAAAUCCCAAAAGACUAAAUGGCCAAUUGAAUGUUUAAGCAAAUUGAUAUGCCUGUUAGGUGUUUUCUUGCUUCUUUACAUAAAUGGGGUAGAAAGAGUAGAACGAUAACAUAGUUCACUUUGUUCUUCUCUUUACAAAGUAGCCAACGACUUAAAAGAAAGACAUUGCACAAAUAGAUACAUAUAAGUCUUAACUAGUCUAAUAGCACCCUCCAUUCAUCUUCCCCUACACUGGCUAUGGUAUCAAAAUUUUCAAUUAAGUAAUACGUCUACUAACGAACUUGAAAACAAAACACAUCACACUAAAAAACACAAACAUCACUUUAACCCAACAGAAGCAACUCUUUUUACCCUUGCACUCACUAUCACAUUACUAUCAUAUUUGUCAACUGUCAAACUAACUCUUUUAAGUUAUUUAGUGUGACUACAAAGUUAUGAACACCAUAAUCUUAAUUAAAACCUUUUAAUAAAUAAAUGCCAAGUUACUACUCAAGAAUGGCAAGGAAUUCAAAAAACAUGACAGCUAUCCUAAUUGGUUGAAAAUGAGAAAAAGAAGACAACCUGUUUGGACUACAAAGCCAGCAGAUAUGAUUCCUCAAAUUUGACCAUUCACUCUCCAUACUCUACAAGUCUUCAAGCACAUGAUGCUGCCUACUUUCAGAUGAGCAACAUCAUUCCGAUCUUAACAGUCAGAAGAGCAAAUCAAAUCAAUCCUAGCAUAUUCACAAAUCACAACUAAAAAGUACAAACAUUACAAAAUAAAACAUGCAGCGAUAUCAACAAGCAUUCUGAUAAAUAAUUAGCCAAUUAAUUGACAUUACAAAAUAAAUAAAGAAAAAAAUCAUUGGAAAGAUCACUGCUUAAAUGAAAUUUGAAAUAUCUCCCAAUAGUUUUGAUCGGUUGCCCGAGUUGUGAGAGUGAUCGGUUGAUAUUGCGUGCUUCCUUCAAGCGCUCCCCAGCUGCACCUGUUAGCUUCUGCCUCCGGAACCAGGUAAAUCAAUAAGAUUUAUUCUACUUGUUUUAAAGCUACUUAAACCAUCUGCCAGUCUCUGCACAAUAAAGUACUAGUCAGAAAUGUACCUUGUCUCAUACUGAGUUACUUUUUCACAUGAUUUUUGCUAGCAGGAUAAAUUAGUUUAAGCUCUAGAAGGGAGUUACUUUUUCACAUGAUUUUUGCUAGCAGGAUAAAUUAGUUUAAGCUCUAGAAGGAACCAACUUAUCCCCUUAAGGGAAACCAAAACAAAUAAUUAAGAAUAAUGAGGAUACGAAGUGGUCCUCGAGAGUAACCAGUUACAAACCUAAUGAAAAAAGCAAGAUACAAUUGUUAUAUUUCUGAAGUUCAGUUUUUCUUUAAGCCAACUUGAGACAAGAAGUAACCAACUGAUGUGUAAUGAAAAUACUCACUUCAGAAAUUUAUUUUGGUUUUCCACUGAGAAACUUUUGAUAACUUCCCAAAACAUCUAAAAAUUCAAAUUCUGAAGUUCCCACAUUUGGUUUUUCAAUCCAGCAGAAGCAUAAAAGAACAUCAUUAAAAAAGUGAAGAUAUUUCUCCGUUUCCUAUCACAAAUUUCUUGAUCAUGGUUGUGCCUGACCAAACAGAGCAUUACAAACAAUACAAGUCCAAAGUUUGUUUUCAUAGUCAUAGAAACAUAAGAGAGGACUAGAAGUCUGAAUAAUGGUAAUCAAUUUAUCACCCAGUUUCAAACACUAAUACAGGCAUAUACAUUGUAUGAAUUCGAAAUUAAUUGAAAAAUAUUAAAAAGAAUCUAAACGAUGACCAACUCCCUAAACUCCAAAGACUUCAAAAACCAUCUCCCAAUUACCCGGGUGAGAUCUUCCAACAUCAUCUACAAUUAUGAAAUUCCGAUUGCACUACAAUAAAUCUAGUAUUCGAUAUCCUAAACCAAGAAUUGUUCAACCUCCAAAGGAAGAUUAAUUGUAACUAAUCUUCUUGCAAGAUUUCAAAUUUUCAAAAUUUUGUCGAACACAAUAUGCAAAACAAUUACGCAAAACAAUUACGCAGAAAAGAAAAGAAACAAAAAUACAUAUAUAGAAAAAAGGGUUUAAUAGAACUUACCCUAUGAUAACCACUUGAAUAAGUAGUAUGUGUCCGUAGCUCAUCAACAUCCAAGCUGUCCAGUGAACCUGAUAUUGAAAGCUGAAAUGAAAUAGACCAGUCAAAGACAGCAACUCGAUUGUCUUACUGACCAAACCAAGUUGGCUCUUUGCUUUUUUAUGGGAUUUUUCUGAUGUAUAUUGCAUGUGUUGUUUGUUUUUUUAUAGCUCUUGAUUGUCUAACCUUUUUACGUUUUGCAUUGCAAGUCUCUCUUUUGUUUCUUUGGUAUGCAAUGUGGUAACAAGGUCUUGCUAGAACCGGUGGGCUAACCUUUCUAUGGUUCUAAACUUAGUUUCUAAGUUUGACUGCUCCCUUCGGAGUGACAACAAGCCUCGUUUUCCCCCUACUAUGGAACGGGGAGGAUUCCUCCUCUUUUCAAAGCCCUCGUCAAACUCAAUGCUAAGUUUGACUGCUCCCUUCGGAGUGACAACAAGCCUUGUUUUCCCCCUAAUGUGGAUCGGGGAGGAUUCCUCCUCUUUUCAAAGCCCUCAUCAAACUCGAUGCUAUGUUUAGAACGCUAAGAGUAGGUGGUCUGGUUUUGGUUAGGCCAAAAGUGAAGUUUUCCCCCAUUUUUUAUGGGCUUUUUCUAAUGUAUAUUGGAUAUGUUGUUUGAUUUUUUUUAUAGCUCUUGAUUGUCUUACUGUUUUAUGUUUUGCAUUGUCAAGUCUCUCUUUUUUUCUUUGGUAUGCAAUGUGGUAACUAGGCCUUGCUAGAACCGGUGGGCUAACCUUUCUAUGGUUCUACAUUUAGUUACUAAUUAAGUUUGAUUGCUCCCUUCGAAGUGACAAUAAGUUUUGUUAAUGUCGACCCUUUUCUAAAGGGAUUUAGUUCAUUGUGGCUAGACAAGAGGCUUCUAACUCAUGUUUGACAAGACAAAUUUGUUAAAACCAUCCCAGUUUCUAAAGAGUGCCUCCUAUCCUUUUUUACUCUAUCUAGGCUAGGUUUGGACUAAGUGCAUCAUAGGUAAGUCACGACAAAGCAACAAAGGAAGACAAAGCUAGAAAAGUAUCCAUGCACUUAUUUAUUAUACAUGCAAUCAAGCAUUCACAACACACAUACCAUUUUCUCAAUCAUGCAUUCACAUCUCAAUAAGAAAUAGCUAAAAGGAGCUUAAAACAAAAAAGACAGCAGCUUAUGCUCAAAUUUCAGCACAUAUACUCAUCAAAAUUCAGAAUUUCACAUCAUAAAACCCGAGCUCAGUGCUCAAGGGUUGCCAAUCAUGCUUUUUAUGCAAGAUCUAAUUAAGCUAAGAAGGUAUAAUGCUCAUUAUUGUAUGGAAAGAAUUCUGAAAAUUUUUGAAAUUUGGGCAAAAUUUGAACCCCCAAGUUUACACUAAACAUGCAAGCUAAGCAAGCCAUUACCCACAACCUACUCAAAAAAAUUGCUUUUUUUGUCCUAAAAGCUUUUGAAAAUCAAAGUAAAUGGAGAAAAAAUAAGGGGGGAACUAUGGACUCCCCUGGAAGGAUCGACAUCCUUGACUUUGGUUUGAAGCUUGCAUGGAUAAACCUUUUCAUUCCUUUUUCUUUGAUUAUUCAUCCUUGUUCCUGAAAAUCAAAGGAAAUUCUCUCAAUUUUAUAUAUUUACUAAAAAUUAGGAUACAUAUAAGUCUUAACUAGUCUAAUAGCACCCUCCAUUCAUCUUCCCCUACACUGGCUAUGUAUCAAAAUUUUCAAAUUAAGUAAUACGUCUACUAACGAACUUGAAAACAAAACACAUCACACUAAAAAACACAAACAUCACUUUAACCCAACAGAAGCAACUCUUUUUACCCUUGCACUCACUAUCACAUUACUAUCAUGUUUGUCAACUGUCAAACUAACUCUUUUAAGUUAUUUAGUGUGACUACAAAGUUAUGAACACCAUAAUCUUAAUUAAAACCUUUUAAUAAACAAAUGCGAAGUUACUACUCAAGAAUGGCAAGGAAUUCAAAAAAACAUGACAGCUAUCCUAAUUGGUUGAAAAUGAGAAAAAGAAAGUUAGCCAGACAACCUGUUUGGACUACAAAGCUAGCAGAUACGAUUCCUCAAAUUUGACCAUUCACUCUCCAUACUCUACAAGUCUUCAAGCACAUGAUGCUGCCUUCUUUCAGAUGAGCAACAUCAUUCCGAUCUUAACAGUCAGAAGAGCAAAUCAAAUCAAUCCUAGCAUAUUCACAAAUCACAACUAAAAAGUACAAACAUUACAAAAUAAAACAUGCAGCGAUAUCAACAAGCAUUCUGAUAAAUAAUUAGCCAACUAAUUGACAUUACAAAAUAAAUAAAGAAAAAAAUCAUUGGAAAGAUCACUGCUUAAAUGAAAUUUGAAAUAUCUCCCAAUAGUUUUGAUCGGUUACCCGAGUUGUGAGAGUGAUCGGUUGAUAUUGCGUGCUUCCUUCAAGCGCUCCCCAGCUGCACCUGUUAGCUUCUGCCUCCGGAACCAGCUACUUAAACCAUCUGCCAGUCUCUGCAUAAUAAAAUGAUUAUGAGCCUAAAUUUUACAAGUACCAGUCCGUUGAAUAUAGAAACGUGAUACUCAUGCUUUUCCAUCCUAAACAACAGAACUAUCUGCACUUCGAUUUACAAAUUCAUUGCCUUUUUCCGACAGUGCUCACAACUGUUAGUUGUUACAGGUAUACUUCUUUUAUUUAUUUAUUUUACUAAAUUCAGUAAUACCAUAUUCCAGAUAUUAGCAACAUUAUUUUAGCAUUACCUUGGAUCGGGAUUCAACAACACAGGUAAAAAAAGCAGUAUGUGAUAGCGAACUCUCAGGAACGGUCGGGUUAGAAGAGGGAGGCCUAGGUGGAAGCGGGCUCUUCAGGAUUUGGAAUCGAAAACCGAUCUGAGGGUGGAGAAUUUUCUUUGGAAGACUUGGGUUUCCGAGUGGGUCUGCGGCCCUUGAUUUCGGCACCGUUAAGGCUAGAAGAAGAAGAAAGUGGUGGAUCGACGAGAUGGGUAUGUCGCAAGAUAGAGUUUCUUGGCUGCUUCACGUUAGAGAGGAAGAGCGAAAUUUUGGAGGUAUAGGAAGAGCGAAACGGAAUUUGAGAGAUAGGAAAUCGCAGGGUUUGAGGAAGACGAAGAAGAGAAGGGGAGAUGAGAGGCAGAGUAAACCGAUGGAGAAGAAAAAGGGGAAAGAAAUUUGAAAUAAAAGAGACCGUUGAGGUUGAAGAAGAGGGAAAAGAAAAUUGACCGUUGAGGUUAUUUAAUUUUUGGAUUAAAUAUUUUCUAUGAAAAUUAAAAAAGAAAAAGUUAAAAGGCAAAUAUUUUUUACUUUUUUUUAUUAUUUAUUCUAUGAAAAUUCAAUAAUAAAAAAGCAUCUAUAUUUGCUUUUAGUAUGGUUCACAUUUUUAUUUAUUUGACAAAAAUCUAACUAAAUUAUCAUUCAUUUUGACCUAAUAUUGCAAAUAUAAAUUUAUAUUUUGCAUCUUAACUACUCUUUGGCAUUUAUAAUAUCAUUGUUCCGCACCUCAAUUUUUUUAUUGUUGUCAAAAAUAAACCUAAUCCAAAAUGAAUUUUGGGAGUUUGAGUUCGACCGUGAUUAUUGUUGAAUAAUUUUAUUUGGGAUGCAAGUUUUUCACUUAGACAUGGACAUUUUGCUAUUUUAGCAAUUUAAAUUUAAAAUUUUCUUUUAUCAAAAGUAAACCUCUUGUUUUAAUGUUUUUCUGGUCAUCCCUUUUAAAUACAACUAAUGACAAAUGAAUAUAACAAUUAAGAAAUUCGUAGAUAUAUAACAACAUUUUAAACUAAUUGCUGCAGUUAUUUUAAAUCACAUAUGUCAUUCGCUUAUAAGCCAUAAGAGUCUAUUAACGAUAUAAAUCUAUCACAAAUAUAUUUUGCUACAUUUACAAUUUUUAAAAGAUAUUGUUAUAUACUUAAUUAUUAUUCAUAAAAUCUGCUAAUCCAUUAUACUUACCCUAAGUUAAAUGAAUAAUGUCAAAAGUAAGUUUACUACGAAGGUAAUUUGUGUGACCCUUUUAUCCUAACGUAGGAAGUUUGUUCCACUCCAUACCAUUAUUGAACUAAGAAGAUUAAGUGUGUAUUAGUAUGUUUAAACAAGUAUAAUUAUAGCAAAAUCUAUGAGUGAUAUAUUUAUAUUAGCAAUACAAUAUGUGUUACAUAUGCAAAUAUUUUGUAUCUAAUCGUUGUAUUUGCAAUUAACUCCAUUCAAAUAUACAAAUAUAAACAUAACUCUUUAACCUGAGUUUAGCUAGGAUCACAAACUACAAAAAGAAAGUAUGGAAUAUAUUUAAUUUGUUUUUUUUUUCUUUGAAGAAAAUUUGGUGUGUAGCACAUUAUAUAUUUUUCUUUCCUUUAAAAAACAGUAUUGAUCUUAUAAUAUACGGCCUUGCACAAUGUAUUCACCAUAAAGAUCAUAUAAUUGUAGAGAUGUAUAGAAGGUCUGAUAAACAACAUAAACGAAAAGUUCUAAUCCUUGAAAUUGUAAACAUUACCCAUAUCCUACAAUAAAAGUCACAUCAACUUGAUAUUUGUUGAAAUUUAACAAAAAUGAAAAGAAAGCAACGAUAAACCAAUGACGAUGGAAGAAGAUACAGUUUUCAAACACAACCAGCUAUCCAAAUUAUUCAUAAUAUGGUAUUAGAAAAUAUAUUGCAAUUUGUAACCUCAUAAGUUUAUAAACAGAGUCAAAAAUUAAAGGAAAUUUUUUUAUCAAGCUUAUAUUAGGACUUUAUACUACUUAUAUGUAAUUCUUAAGUUUUCUUCUUUUAGCUAUAAAAGACACAAAUUAAGAAAAAAAAAUGACUUGAUUGUCCAUGUAAAGUUAUGCCCCAACUUUUUUUCUUCUAACUUAAGAAAAGGAACACCAACAAAUAUCUAUCCCCAUAAACUAAAAAGCAUAGGAAAAUGAUAGUAAAAGUAAAAUCAACUUUUUCUGUUAUCUUUUUCCUUCAUUCAUUUACUUCUAAUUGAAAAUAAACCAAAAGUCUAAAACCGAUCAAAUUAUUGAAAACGAAAAAACAAGAAACAUAACAGUGUGGAGAGGUAGUUAUUAUCAAGUAUUUGAUUUUGUUUAAUAGAUUCCAGUUGUGACAACCACAACAAUUGUAUGCAUGAAGUUCAUCAUUCAAACAGAUUCUGACAACAAAUUUCAACACAUCUGCAAGGCGAAAGAAGAUAGGAAUUAGGAUAACAAGGUAAUUAGAACACUGAAAUAAAUUUUAAAAAUAAUUUUAUUGCCGAUUGCUACUAUAAGCAUAAUUAUCUGCUUGUAUAAUUGUCUUGCAUGAUCUGACAAAUACAUUAUGGUAUUUGAUAUUCCAUUCAGGUUGUAUCUUGCAUGUUACCAACAAAAUCAUGUGCUUAGUGAUAAAUUACUCUUAGACUGAGAAAUACUCGAAAAAAAAUCAAGAGUAACAACUCUUAGUUUCCCAGAAAAAUUGAAACAAAAUCAUGACAAACCAACAACAAGAACUUCAUAAACUUGUCUGAUGAAAGCAACUCAAGAACAGUCUCAAUGCAGAUCAUACAUGAGUUCUUUGCUAAAUAUUUCCAAAGGCUAAAAAGAGUUAAGGAAAAAAAGAAAAACAAUAAUUACCUGUAAUUUUCGUUGGUUCAUGAUCUUCUCUUGUCAUUCCCUCACUUUAAUCUCAUAACUGAAAAGGAAAAGAGGAGGGAGGGGUGAUUAAACUCAUGCAUGUACAUAAUGUCGAAACCAGCAAAAUUACCACCCUAUUAACUAUGAAAGUCUGGUUGUGGUCGAAGUAGGGUGAAAGUCAGUGUAGAUUAGGAUAGAUGUCACCGUGAAGCUCACUGUCGGUUGGGGGAGAACAUAAAAAUUGACUUUUUUCUUUUAUAACAGGCUGACUGACCUACAGGCUGGGGUGAACUGGCUGGCAAGGAGGAAGUGACAUGCUACCACUAGGUUGUGUUAGGUGUGAACAAUGGACAAUGGUGGCUAGAAGUGAGGGAAGGGCUUUGUCAAAGGGUCGUGCAGGGCUGAACUCCAACUGUCCAAUAUUAGUUUGUUCGCUUACUUUCUUUGUUUCACCCAUAUCAAUGUCUGCAAAAAUUCCCACAAUAUAUAGAAAUGGAAAUAAAGAUCCUUAAGUUCUUUGAGAAAAAUCAUAAAUAUAGCCACAAAAUUUCUCCAAUUAUUUGUUACUUAAAAAAGUAUAGAAAUUGUCAACCAAGCUCAACUAACGCCUGUAUGUAUGUACUUAGAACCAAGAGGUCUCGGGUUUAAAUCCCUCUACCCCGAAUUUGUACUCAUAAAAAGAAAAAUACAGAAAUUGUAUGAAUGAGGUGCACAUUCACGUAAUUUAUACGAUGAUGUGAGAAAUGCUAUGAUUGUAAUGGAUGCUCAUAGUUUGGCUCGUAGCAAUAGAAAAGCCCGAAUCUUAUUCUCAAAGUUGAGUCCUUUCUUCAGUGCAAAAAAUGUGGUUUCCUGUCGGCUUGGGGAAAGAUCAAUUGCUGUCUCCACCUUGUUGACAUUUCGCCCUGCAUAAUUAUUGACAACGAGAAAUAAAUAGAAAGGUUAUUCUACCAUUUUUUUGGUUUUAUGAGAACAAAUUCAGAGAGCUAAUUGCAAGCAAUAUUUGAAGUAAAGUUACACCUCCUGCCCCCCAGAUCUUGCAGUAGUCAGUUCAAUGUCCUUCGGAUCAAUCACUACUUCAACUUCAUCUGCCUAGAUGCAAUAAUAACAUAAGCUCAACAAAUCAAGAUAAACAUAGCUGAUCAAGAUGCAAAUGCAACGGAGAACAAAGUCAAAUAAGAGAAAUUAUCAUAUCCAAAUUGUUAACACUCCUACAGAGAAACAGUACGAACACUAUGAAUAUCAACUAUAUAUAAGGAUAACUGUAUAGUAAUGCACUUGGAUUUUCAUGUUAAGGCACUAGUGUGAUAUGACAGAACAUUUUAAUCGGCCACUCCACAUUAAUCCAUCAUCUAGGUAUUUUUAACAGAGAGAUAGCUUUUCACAUUAUAAUUGUUAAUGGCAAAAAUGGAGCACAAUAGCAUAUCAGGGACCUAUAAAGGAAAUGGGGAAAGAAUUAACAUUAGACAACUGUCCAGGACAAACUUAGCAAAUUCAGGUAAUAUUCUACCACACAUUAGUCUGAUUAACGCAUGCAAUUCUUAUUUGACAAGUAUCAGACAGUUCUUAUUUCACAAUUUAUAGUGAACUUAUGGAAUAGUUUACCUCUAGCAUGAUGACUACUGUAGUCGUAGAAGUAUGCAUACGGCCCUGUGUUUCUGUUUGAGGAACACGUUGAACUCAAUGAAAACCAGACUCUUAUUUCGAUUUACUGUAGACACGUUAUCCUUUGAUUUCUGUCACAUAAGUUUCGUGUCCCCCCUUUUCAGCCAGAAAAGUAAACAACGAAAAUUCUUCAAUAUAUAUACAGAAAGCACUAGGAUAUUGACUUCUGGGAUGUCUGGAGGCACAUACCUUAGAACUUGAAACAGGGAAAAACUUCCAUGAAUUCCGCUCACUGUAUUUCUGGUACAUACGGACAUGUUAUAUAAUUGGAAAAAAUGAGUUAGAGAAGAAGAAACGACAAUGUAGAAAAAUGUAUUUGAGAAAAGAAGGGGGUAAAAUCAAAGCAGGACAGGAACGGAAGAGACAUCAGAGUUUGGACUAUGUAACUUGUAAGUUUUACAAAGCCUAACUAUCCUAUUCACUGUUCAAUUUUCUAUACACUUAUAAGGCCUAAAUUGUUGGUAAGAAAAAGAUUGGAGCAUAGGUCACCUCUAAUGGAUUGAUGAGAAAAUUCAAAAUUUAACAUCUUAGUCGUAUCUUUUGAAUAAAAAUAAAAAUAAAGCCCAUCUUAGUUGUAAUUAUGUAAAAAAAAAAAAAAGACAAUUAAUGUGAUUAUUCAUGAAUUGAUUUGGGUGGGCUAUUUCAAGAUAAAAGUACCAAACAAAAGACUAGAAUGGGUUAUUUAGUUAUGUAAUCACAACUGCCAUUUCUCCUCCAUAAGAAAAACAAACAAUUUCUCUAAAUUUCAUCUAUAUAUAUAUAUGUAUUUAUCAAAUGAAUCAUAUCAAUAAGGACGGGAAACAACAAAGAAAAAUUAAAAUGGCCAAUAACUCUUGUCUCAUUAUUAUCUCUCUCGUUGGAGUUCUUUCGUUCACCAUCAUUUCAAAUGUGGCAUCAUCUAAUGACGUCGUUUCCACCAUCUGUCCAAAAACCUCAAAUCCACAAUUUUGUUCAAGUGUGUUGAAAUCUGCAGGCACUACAAAUCUAAAAGGCUUGGCUGUAUACACCUUAAACCUUGCUCAUACAAAUGCUGAAAAAUCUUUGACUCUAGCCAACUCACUGGCAAAAACCGCCACCAAUCCUCAACUUAAGCAACGAUAUUCGUCUUGUGCUGAGAGCUAUGAUGAAGCUAUUGGUGACAUUGAAAAUGCCCAAAAGGACUUGGCACUUGGGGACUUUAAUGGUGUCAAUAUUGUAACUUCUGGUGCCAUGACUAAUAUUGGUGACUGUCAGGAUAAGUUCGCACAGCCGCCUAAGGAUACAUCGUUGCUUUUGAAGAAUGGCAAGACUCUAAAUGAUAUAUGCAGCAUUAUUUUGGUUAUAUCCAAUCUUCUUUGAAGGCUAUGUACUUGAAGAUUUUAAUCAAUAAAUAAAAUGAAGUUUAAUUUUUAAAAUAAUAACAUUACAGUGGGAUGGUGAUCGGAAUUGAUUACUUUGGUUAAAAUUUAAAAUUAGAUAAAAAAAAUCAAUUAAUAGAUAAUUCCAACUAAUCAAAAUAACUAAAUAAAAGACGAGAUUUGAAAAUAUAAUAUCCUAAUAGACACUAAUAGACUUAUAUUAAUAGAUAAUUUCCUGCCGAUGAAAAAUUACUAAAGUUGUACUAUAUUUUAUAAAUAUUUUAAAACAUUACAUAAACACUAAUUAAAGUUGGGUUUAGUAGCAAAAAGUUACAAAUUUAUGGACACCUUCUUUUAGGGAAAAAAAUACAGAGUAAUAUUACCUUGACAUGAUGUAAACUAAAUUUGUAAUCAGCGUUGAAAUCUCUACUAUAUUAAAUGCGCUCGUGGAGAAAAAAAAUUAUAUACAUCUAUUUUAUUCUUAAAUUGUCGAAAAAAAUUUAUAUUACUUUUUGUGAUCUAACGUAGUUGUGACUUUUCUAUUGUAAGUGUCCAUUUUAAUGUUUGGAAAGAAGAUUUUUCCAAUUUUUUAGUUUACAAAAUAAAGUUCUAUAUUUUAAAAAAUAAAACCUUAUGUCGAAUAUGUGUAACUAAUAUUGAUAGGAUGUGACUAGUUGAUCUUCGAGAUACGAUGCAUUCUGUUUAGAGUGGAGAUGGUUGCACACACAUCAAAUUGGUGCAUUGAUUCCUCCAAACUUACAUGUAAAAUGUACGUGUAAAAGAAAAACAAAAUAAACUCUUGCAGUUACACAUUAGAAAAAAAAAACGUCACGAAAUCCCAAAGUUCAAAAGAAAACAAACACACACAAAAGGGGAUUUAAUUGAUUCAAAGUAGUAACGAAUGGUGAAAAAUUGCAUCAUUUCUUGUGAUUUCACAUUGACAUAUUAGAAUAAAAAAUUAUCGUAUUCUAUAUAUUACAAUAUUGGAUCAAAUAUUAAUACAUUAAUUCAAUUAUUUAAUUACUACAACAAUGAAUUUCUUUUUCUUUUUUAAAUAAUAAUUUUACCAUUAAUAUUGUAUAAUAUUUGUUUAUUAUAUGCUAAAGCAUAUUUAAAAAUUAAAUAGAAUUAAGAUAUUUCACGUGAAUAUGUGCACGUGUUUCAAUUGAAAAGAUUGAAACAAUAGUCACAAAUGAUUUUUUCAUAAAACAAAACAUUCGUAACCAAAUCUAAAUAUGCACUUUCAUAAUAAAGGACCAAAACUCAUAUUGCGUAGAAUUGAGCAUGGUUUAAAUGAAAUUAUUAAGAAAAUACUUACACUUUACACCAGGUUUUUUGGCAACAUAUAUAGUGAGAAAACUCAAAAUUUACCCUCUUACUUGUAUCUUUUCAAUAAAAAAGUGCAUCUUAGUUGUAAUUAUGUCAAAAUAAAAUAAAAAAAAAGAACCAGUCAAUUAACAUGGUUAUUCAUUCAUUGAUUUGGGUGAACUUUUUGAAGAUAAAAAUUCCCUAUUCUGGUGGUUGAGGAGCUUUUCGAUGAAUUAAAUGGAGCAAACUGGUUUUCAAAGAUUGAUUUAAAGGCGGGGUUCCAUCAGAUCAAAAUGUGUGGAGAAGACAUCGAAAAAACAGCAUUUCGAACACAUGAUGGACACUAUGAAUUUAUGGUUAUGGCAUUCGGCUUAACUAAUGCCACAUCCACUUUCCAAGCUCUAAUGAACUCAAUAUUUAAACCAUUUUUGCAGAAGUUCAUAUUAGUAUUUUUCGACGACAUACUAAUCUACAGUGAGAACUUGGAAAAUCAUCUGAAGCACAUUGGGUUAGCAUUGGAAAUCCUGAGAAAGAAUGAGUUAUAUGCAAACCAGAAGAAGUGCAGCUUCGCGCAAGAACGUAUUGAUUAUUUGGGUCAUAUCAUUUCAGGACAAGAAGUUGAAGUGAACCCCGAGAAAAUCAGAGCAAUCAGGGAAUGGCCUAUACCCAGUAAUAUAAGAGAGGUACGAGGAUUACUGGCCUCACCUGUUACUAAAGAAAGUUCGUUCAGCACUAUGGCUUCAUUGUCGCACCAUUGACUCAACUACUUAGGAAAGGGGGAUUCCAGUGGACUGAGGAGUCUAAGGAGGCAUUCCAACAACUACAAAAUGCCAUGAUGACCCUGCCCGUUUUGGUGUUGCCUGAUUUCAAUGCCACCUUUGAAAUGGAAACAGAUGCAUCGAGAUAUAGGGUAGGAGUCGUACUCGUCCAAGCCAAGCGCCCCAUAGCAUACUUUAGCCAUACGUUAGCCUUAAGAGAUAGGGCCAAGCCUGUAUAUGAAAGGGAAUUAAUGGCAGUAAUCUUGCCUGUGCAACGAUGGCGACCAUAUCUGUUGGAAAGAAAAUUUAUUGUGAAGACCGAUCAGAAAUCCUUGAAGUUCUUAUUACAACAAAGAGUGAUACAGCUUCAGUAUCAGAAAUGGGUAGCGAAGCUAACGGGAUACUCAUUUGAGGUGGUCUACAAACCCGGCUUGGAGAAUAAAGCAGCAGACGCCUUGUCUUGGAUGCCUCCUACAGUUAACCUCGGUAGCAUAACAGCUCCUACAUUGGUUGACAUUCUGGUGAUUAAAAAGGAAGUCGAAGCGGAUGAAAAGUUGAGCAAAAUAAUGGAAGAACUACAAGCAAUGGAAGAAGGAACAGAGGGUAAAUUCUCCAUCCGACAAGGUAUGUUAAGAUAUAAGGAUAAGUUUGUGCUGUCCAAAACAUCUACAUUGAUACCCACAAUCCUACAUACUUACCAUGAUUCGGUACUUGGAGACCAUUCUGGAUUUUUAUGCACAUACAAACGACCAACUGGUGAGCUAUAUUGGGAAGGAAUGAAGGCGGAUGUUAAGAAGUAUUGUGAGGAAUGUGUAAUAUGUCAGAAGAACAACUCCCUAGCACUAUCCCCCACCGGACUGCUGCUGUCCCUGGACAGUCCAAACAAUAUUUGGAGCGAUAUAUCUAUGGACUUUAUCGAGGGCUUACCAAGAUCGAAUGGUUUCGAAGUCAUCUUUGUAGUGGUGGACAGAUUCAGCAAAUAUAUUUGUUAAGGAGAUUGUCCGACUUCAUGGCUUUCCCAAAUCGAUAGUGUCCGACCGAGAUAAGGUAUUCUUGAGCAACUUUUGGCAAGAAAUGUUCAAAAUGGCAGGCACCCGAUUAAAUCGAAGCACCGCUUAUCACCCUCAGUCGGAUGGGAAAACUGAGGUGGUUAAUAGGGGAGUGGAGACGUAUCUGCGAUGUUUUUGUGGAGAACGGCCUAAGGAAUGGUCAAAAUGGAUACAUUGGGCUGAAUAUUGGUACAACACUACUUUUUAGAGAUCCGUAGGGGUCACUCCAUUUCAGGCUAUCUAUGGACGUAUGCCACCACCAUUGAUGUUUUAUGGUGACCGGGACACUCCAAACACUACCUUAAACGAAUAGCUCAAGGCAUGAGUUGAAAUUCUGGGAGUCCUAAAAGAACACUAAUUCGUCGCACAGACAAGAUGAAAAAUAACGUAGACUUGAAGCGUCAUGAUGUGGAGUAUGCAGUUGGCGAUAUGGUCUUCCUGAAGAUUAGGCCCUAUAGACAGAUCUCAUUACGACAAAAGAAAAAUGAGAAACUAUCCCCCAAGUUCUUUGGGCCUUAUACGAUUGUGGAACGCAUCAUACUGGUUGCGUAUAAGCUAGAGUUGCCAGCAUCAUGUCACGUCCCGCGAAACGACCCCACUUUUUGCGCCAAAAAGUGCUAUAAGACUCCCAAAAGAAUGCCAAAGGGAAGCCAAGCACACUCAAGCAACAACCCGAUCCGGCCAUGUGACAGCCCACAUGUGCCCACGACACAUGCCCAUGACAUUGGCAUGUGCCCACAGAAGGCAGCCCACGAGCCCCGCAUGCAUGUCGUGACACGUGCCCACGACAACCCCAUGUGCGUGUACGGACGCACACCUCAUAGGCGCGGACACCAGACAAGGCGUCAGGCACCAACGCCACCCAGACAACCCAUGUGCACCGACAGCUGCACAUGGCACGGCGGCCAACCCACCAGGCGCGCACACAGGCGCCCACGCCCAUCAGACGGCCGCCCAUGCCAGACACGGCAUGGCGCGCGCGGCCCCAUGCGCGCGUGCCCAGCAUGCGCACGACCAUGCGCGUGCGACCCUGCAUCCGCACGCCCCACGCCCCGAAGCGCCGAGAAGCUUCCAGAAGAAUGGGGAAGGCGCGCGACACUUCGCGAGGCGCGCGCCCAGCGCCGCGAAGAAGGACACCGCGCGCGCGCGCAGAAGGCCCCAGACACGCCCCUGUGCGUGCUGCUCCGCCCAUGCUCGGUCUAGACAGCCCCAGAAGCUUCUAGAACGCCCGAGACAGUACCAGAAUGUGCCAGAAUGGUCUGGACACGCCCGAGAAGGCCCUGGAACAUGCUGGAACGUGCUGGACAAAGCUAGAACGUGCUAGAAGGCUACAAUGACGGUCUGGAAGUGUCAUGAAAGGUCUAGUCCUCUCUAGAAUGUUCUAGGCUUCCUUGUAAUGUACUAAACCCUCUUGUAUCAUCUAGAAUAUUCCUUGGCCGACCUUAUGAGGCCUAGGUCGGUUUGGCAAGGUUAUAAAUACUUGUAAGGGCCCUCAUUUGUAAAGAAGAAGGAAACCAAUAAGAGAAAGGGUUCUCUUAAGCUCUCUCAACUUCUCACUCACUCUCUUGCCAACCCAUUGUGAUUUCUAAGUGCCUUAGGUGCACUAAUCAUCUUCCGCUGCAUUAUCAUUGAGGUUAUUCAUAGUGCUUGGUGCACUAACCUCUUGUUAAGGCUUACUUGGCUAACGGGGACGACAUAGUCAAGCCAAGUGCCGCACGGUUGGUUAGCUUCAGAUCCUAACCACGUGACAGGUGGUAUCAGAGCGUGUUCGUUCGGAGGGACAUACUCUUAAUCGUUGGUAUCAAGUACACGAUACCGAGGGACCGGGAUUCAAGACCCCUAGUUCUUGAAACGUUGUCGAGGUGUAUCGGAACAACGGUGUGAGGACCUAGGUACGCCUUAUCGCUUUACCCUAUUUAUUGACUCGAAUGGGAUCCAGGGAAGGAUACGAGUCACCGAUUGAGCAAGUCGUUGAAGGGCCAACGACACGUGGACGUGCUGCACAACGUUCCCCAUCCCGACAGAACAAGGCAACAACAUCGACAACUCGGGAUGUUGUCGAAGAACGAUUUGCGACCUUGGAGGGAAAAUUGGAGGAAGUGCAGGAGAAAUUAGGCGAGACGAGCGAGUUGAUGGAGGAGCUACUUGUGGAUCAUGCCGAGGUCUCAAAAAUCACUAAGGCUAUGAUUGAAGAACUUAGAGGCUCUCAUGGCAAGGACAUCCACGACCUCAUUGUGGAGGUAACCAACAUGCGCAAGUUCAUGGAAGAGGAGCUCCAUGCAUUGCGUAAGGACGUCGACGAGGUACGUGCCGAAUGUCUAUCUAGACAUAAUACUAAAUGAAAAGUGGUUCUACAGAUUCAAAGAAGGCAAUAGAAAUCACUCAUUUUAAUAUCAUUUAAUAUUUCAUCAACAACCUAUAGAGUUUAUUAAUCUUUUUCUUUCCUACUAAAGAAGCUCUAAUUUAUUACUCUAGGAAUGGUCCUUUCUAACUUAUAUACAGGUAACAAAAAAUAAAUUGAAGAAAUACUCUGAGCUUUUCCAUUUAGAAAUCCCAAUGAGCAAAGACUAAAGUCUUCCCGGGAUUCUUAGGAUGCCAAACUCCUCUCAUUGGAUAGACAUCAAUAUAUCUUAGAUGAGAAGCUACCUUGAAUAGCCUUGCUUCCUCAGCAUAUAAACAUAAAUAUAUUUGUUGUAUUCAAUCAAAAAUAAAAGAUAAGCUUGUUCUGAAACCAAUUCCAAAAAUCUCUUCGAAAAUAUGCUGGGAGAGUUGUUGUUGUUUAAAUACUUGGUCCUUCGAAGGUUGGAAUUACAAUGUAACUUUUCACAUAUUCAUGAAAAGUUAUGAUUCUUAUUAUGAAAGAAUGAAACUUCGAACUAGUUCCUAAAGGUAGUACUUUUAGCUGAUGUGGCAAUUUGGAUCAGCCAUGUACGGUUGCAUUCCUCAAUGUGAGUGAUAAUCAAACCCAAACUACCUCAAAGGAAUUAUUUUGUACAGUAACUCCAUCUUUACCAACUUGCGACAUAAAACUAUCUAGGGUUCAUGGGUUGGGGUAAGAAAACUUUUGGACCCAACCCACCAAGUCUUUUUAUCAUUAAGUUUUCUUCAUUUUUAUGUCAAUUGGCAUGUAUUUUAUAAGCUUUGAGAGAAGAAACUUAAUAUAAAUGUAUACUUGGUCAGAACCCCGUCAUUUAGCCUCAAUUUUCACAAUGUAGAGGUAUAGAAUUCAGAGAGGUUAUUUUAUUUUCUUAAAAUUACUCCCCAACUGUUAAUCUAUGAUUAACUUUUGCUAUAAAAAAUUAGUCCUUAUAUCCCUCUUCUAGAAAUUUGACAAACAUAUUAAUCAGGCGCCUUUUUCUGAAAAAUAAUUGUUCAUAUAUUUUUUUUUGAAACAGAGACAACCCUUUUUAUUAAAGAUGUAAGUAAAAAAGAGACUAAUGCUCAAACUAUAGGAGAAUUAUACUAAGAGCGAAAAGAAUGACCAAAACAAAAGUACAGACAAAUUGAACAAAACAAUCAAAAUCCUGAGAAAACAAUAGAAAACUGAGAACAAAGCGAACUUAAAACCUUUCAACAAGAAGCCCAAAAUCAGCUGAAAAUUGCAGACUAAAAACUUCAAACUAGAUGGAAGGAAACACCAAGGGAGAGCUAACAACAAUGCAGCUUUGUUGAAAAAAAUAUCCCUCCCAAGUCAUCCUUCGAUCUUGAGUGAGUGACUAGAACCAGAAUAUUUCAUAAGAACUUUAGAGGGCCAAAAUAAUAAAAGCAUUCGUCGAACCUCAUGUGAUCCACUAAAACAAACCUAAAAGAUAAUUGGCUGAAAAACCAAGAUCAAGUUAUUCUAUACUCAAACCAAAGUAGUUCCACAUUGCUCAACAAUUGACUUCAAGCGAUCUGGAACUUCACAUUGUCGAGCUUGUGAGGGAAAUAAAGAGACUUGUUUCUCAGUAAUUAAAUCCUCCCUUGUCUGAAAGCGGUAUUAAGAUCAGAUUCUAGAGGAUCCUUAAUCGACUGAUCAAUGUUUACAAUGAGUAGUGGAGGCACUUUUGAUUCAGAUUUUACCGAAGGAGCUCAAGGUAUCGUGCAAUGUGAUCGAUUUUCUUGGGACACAUAAAUAAAUCUAACGCCAAUUGAAACAUAAGGACUAGUAUUUGGAGCAUGAUAUUUCUUCCUAUCUCUACAUGUAAAGAUCACAAGAAAAAUAAGAAUUUCACAAAAUAACAGAAAACAAAAUUAGACAAAAUCAGGGCAUGGCCGAGGAUGAGAUUAGAGAUGAAGCGAUGAUUAGUAUUUAUUGAAAAUGGGAGAAAAGUAGAAUGUCAAACCAAUCCAAGAACAUACCUCACAAAUCUUCGGAUAGACGAUCGUGGUCAAAGCAGUGGUUAUGGUCGAGGAUGAGAUUAGGGAUGAAAGGAUGUUACGAAAGGUAUAUCAACAAGAAGAAUAAACAAAUUUAAAAGGUAAAAUAUGUGAACUUAAAUUGAAAGUUAUAUUGAAAGGUUUGUAGUUUAGAUACCUCUUUUCACGUUUGGUUCAUGCACCUCUUCCUCCUUUUCCCCAUACCUAAAUUGAAUGGUUUGUAUCUUAGAGACCUUUCAUCUUACUUCUUCUAAUUUUAACCAAUUUCGAUCAUUAUAUAUUUUGAAGUUCUUAUAAAUGGUCUCAUGUAUUGAUUAAGGAGAGAAGAGAUUGGUAUGGUAGAUAUAUAAUAACACUUAUCUUCUUUCAUAUAAAAUUUUUAAGUGCAUUCUUAAAGACAAAACUACAUGUUAGAAAGUCUUCAAUUAUUAUGCCUUAGCAUUUUUUACUCGUUUAUAAAUAGAAGAAAACCAAUGUUAUAUGGAAGUCCAGUUUGCAUAUCAACUAAAAGUUAAGGAAGGGUUGUAUGUUUUUAGUGUUAUUUGAUCCAAAGAACCCCAAAAUAUACAUUCAAAUGAGAGCAAAGUAAUAAAUAUUAUAUAGUUGUGUGUGAGAUAAGAGAAGAGCAACAAAAAAGAGUAAAACAUAGAAAGCAUUGGGAGUUGAAAUAAAAUAUUUGAUAAAACUACAAAGUAAGCAGAUUGAACUGAUACAAGAACCGACAUGUCGUUCCAAAAGGAUUACAAAAAACACAUCAUAAUCAUAUCGCAAGAUGCAAAGCAUUUAUUCAAUCUCCAUAAUAAUAUCUACAAAGGGCUACGCCAAAACACUUCAAAGCUCAAACAAAAAAACCAUUUUAAAAUAUUACACACACCAAUAACCAACAUGUCGAACAGAACACUUUACGUUACGUUCAUACCAUCUGACUGAACUUCUGCUCAUUCAACGACAUGUCGUCCAUCAUCCAAACAUCCAAAUCAACUCGUUCGAACUCCCCAUUUCCACCGAGUUCACUCGCUUGUUGCUCCUCGCUAUCCAGACCCAAGAACGAUCUCAAACUCGCCAACUCCUCGCCGUAGUACAACUCCUCGCUGUCACACGAACUAUCCGCACGUGUACACGGAGGCGAACCGGUGGUGUUCAAGCCACUCGGAGUAAACUCGGGGACGACGCACUGCAUUUUUACCGGAGUUUGACGCUGAGCCGCGAGCGACGGCGGCGCUGGAGCAAAGUUGAGCUUCGCCUUUUCUCCUCGGAUCCGCUUGGCAGCUUCAUCGUAUGCUCUGGCCGCUUCCUCCGCGGUGUUGAAAGUGCCGAGCCAAACUCGAACUCCUUUUCGUGGGUCCCGAAUCUCCGCCGCCCAUUUUCCCCACGGCCGUUGCCGGAUUCCUCUGUAUAUAUUCUUCCGAGCUUUUCGAGUCUUCUCCACCGCCACCGCCUCCGCCGCCGUAGAUCGGUUUCUUUUCUUAGGCGUCUCAGUUUUCACUACAAAUCAGUCACACUUCAUAUACCCAUGACCAUUGAAAUUUUCAUUCCCUUCUCUAAUAUUUUAUUUUAAAAGACUAUAGCUAAACUAGAAGCAAUAAAUGAAUAGAAGUAGCGAGACUAAGAAUCGUAUUACUUUUAAAGUUAAUUGAAUAAAAUAUAAACAAAUCGAUCUUCAUCGUUAUUCCUUCCUUGCAAAUACGUAGAAUAAUAUAAUAUAGAGAGAACUUUUAGGAAUCAAACGAAAUGAAAACAAUUAUAAAAAAUGGAGAAUGGGAAGAACAUGAACGUACCAGAGGAAUAAUUGAGGCCGAGGAGAUCGGAGAAAGGGUCGAUAUGGGACCAAAGAGAUUCAUUUGUUAAGCUUACAAUAACGAGUUCGGCUUUUUCUCUAUAAAAUCAGAGAUAAUGGCACCACCGCACAUUUUUCUCUCUAAUAUAAUUCCUCCAACGUAAUAAAGAGGUUUUGGAGAACCCUUCAUACAAUGUUAUUUAUAGACGAUCUUAAUGGGCCUUCAUUUUGGGCCCUACAAUGGUGCCUGCUUAUUGGGCUUACUACCAGGUCCACUACACAUAAUCACACUUUAACGGGUAAUGAUGAGAGAAAUAAUAAUUAAAGAUAUAGCAAGUUUUAAAAAAAUUGCAAAUAUAGUACGGCUAUCGUUGAUAGAUUUGUAUGACUGAUAGACUCAUAUGAUUUAUCGGUGAUAGACCAAUUUUUAUAACAUGGUCUAUCAAUGAUAGAGUCUAUCAUCCAUAGAAUUUGACAAAUUUUGCUUUAUUUAUAAAUUUUUAAAAAAGUUGCUAUAUAGUUAAUUAUUUUAAAUUUAAUUACUAAAUUUGCAACUAUCUCUUUUAUUUUUCCUCUCUUUUUAUAGGUUCAAAUAGUGUUUUUUAUGUUUUUUAUGUUUUUUUUGUUUUACUUUUACAAAUUCACAACAUACCUACCAAAUCAAACUUCAUAGAAUAAAUAAACGAAUACGUAAACUUAUCUGUCUUUUUUUCCUCACAUAUUUUUAAAAGACUACGUAAAACUUGUCGAUCUUCACUGACAAAUUUAAAAGGUAAAAUAUGUGAACUUAUCGAUUCUACUAUCAUAUUUACGUAAGAGCCAUUAGGACUAAUAGAGGCACGUGCUCUCUUCACACUAUAGAUUUUUGUAUUUUAAUAUUAAUUUGGAAAUAUUAGACUUGAAGUCACGACUUGAUGGUUAUGCCCAGUCUCACAAUUACGAGGAGGUGACUUCAAGUUCACAUUUUUUAUCUUUUAUUUUUGUUAAGAAUGAAAACCUAAUAAAUAUACAAAUCAAACCCUUCAUUUUUUUUGAAUGAGUUAUAAAUUAAAGAAUAUAUAUAUUAAAAGAUAAAUAUGAAAAACUAAAUGCUCAAACAUCACCGUGAACAUUUUGAAAGUUGCAAGAAAAAGAUAGUGAAUAUCUCACUAAAAUGAAAAUUACUAAAUUUAAAUUUUAAAAUAACAAAAUUUAUUUGAAUAACUUAAGAUUUUUUUUAUAAUAAUACUCUGCUAAAUCAACAAUAUACAUAUAUAUUUGUAUAACUAAAAAUAAAUACUUAACAGUUUAAACUUUAUAAUAAUUUAGUUUUCAAUCAUAAAAGUACUCCAAUAAAGAAGGAUCAACACGGCAUUACAAGAAAUGUGUUUUUAGGAGAAUAGGCAAAUAGAUUAGAGCAUUCCAACAUGUUGAAGGAACCAAUAAUAUGGUUGGGUGUAGCCUUCACUUUACUACUAUAUUUAAUAACUCUCCUUCCAUUGGUAACUUCAACAACAUUGAAGUUAACAUCUUCUUGCACUUUCUCUUUGAAACCCAACAAAAUUCCUAAAACAUGAGUGUAUAUGACAAAAACUAAUUAGGGUGCAGAUUAAACUAUCAAAAUUGAUUUAUUAUCUCUUUUCAUAAUACAUACUUUCUUCGAAAAAGUAAUUAAAUAGGGUUGAUUUGAAGAAUGCUAUUAAUCACAAUUGUUGUAAAUAAAAACGGUAAUUAUGAAAGAAAAGGAAGCAUCAUGAAUAGAUUCUUUACUUUAUGACGGUGGCCGUACAGUCUGGCGGUUUUGAAAGGCGUGAAAAGGCUGUUUCUUUCUUACAAAAGCGGGGGACGUAUCUUUACACGUGGCACCAUUUAAAUGGUUUUAUGGGAUGAACGUACGUCGGUAUAAUUAUUUUAAUAUUUCUUUUAAACAGUUCGUGGGAGGAAGCAAAAUGGUAUUUUAUUUAUUUAUUUUUGCAUAUUUUAACCUUUUUUUCUUUUAGUUAAUAAUAAUUAUUAAUUAACUAAUUAAAGCAUAUGCAUAUGUAGUCUUAUGAAAUCAGACAUCUCGUCUACAAAAUAUAAAUUGAACAUGAACACGUUAAUAAUAGUAAGAGAUAAAAGUUUGUAUCGAGUUUGAUGUUAUAAUUAAAAUAACACAAUUGCUAAAAUAUAAAAUAGGCAUCAGAUAUAAUUGAGUAAGAAGAGGUUGAAGGAAGAUGAGAAAAGUGUGGCAGUGGACAACUUGAUGAACUCAUGACAUAAUCAUAUCCUUUGAAACUGUGAAACCAAGAAAAUAAGAUGAUGAGUUGCAUUAGCAACAGCUGCCUUUAAGUUUUAUUUGUUUGUUUGUUUACUAUUAUUAUUAUUUGGGAGUAUACGAAAGAAAGACAAAAAAGUCACCAAUAGAACACUUCGACUAUGCUUUCAGAAAGAAUGUGUUUGAUGUUAAUCCAUUUAUUUUUUAUAUCUUUACAUUAUGUUUCAUUUUCAUAUUCUAUUAUUAAGAACAAUUAAAUUUUCAAUGGGUUAAUUUUUAAAGUUUUAUAAACUUAAACUUAAAAAAUUGUCAAACCUGUUGGGCUUAUUUCACCCUUGAAGUCCAGCCCAUUAGGUCAACUUUACUAUGAAAUUAACUAAUGUACAAUGCAAUUAAAAAGAAAAGUAGUAAAGUAGUGACGGUAAGACAGUGAAAAAAGAAAGAAAAAUAAAAUAAAUGUGAUUCGUAUUUCAGUCUUUUGGGGAUCGAUUGGUGGUCCAAUCAAGCUGAAAUUUUGACUGGUGUAUUCUUGGCACGAGGUUCUUCAUUCUGGAUAGUGGAGAUUUUGUUUGGAGCUAUCUACAAUUAGAUUCUAGUUGAUAGUUGACUACCACAUAUUGUGAGAUUUUUCCUUUUUUCUUUCAUUGUCAUUUUGUUUGUUGUCGGGAUUGUUAUUCUCGAGAUACUUGCCUCUAGUUGUGACUAGGGAGAACUUUGUUGUACCCAUUAAAGAUUAUAGUGAAGAUUUUGACUUCGGUCCGUGGUUUUUUACUCCUCACGUUAUACUUUGAUUAUUAUUAUUAUUAUUGAGUAGUGUUCUAUGAGGUUCACACAAGAGUGUGAUAAUUGAUCCAAGGCGAAGGUGUUUAUCCCAACAAAGUGAUUAAUUGGGAUUUAAUUGGAAUUGCCUUGUGUUGAAUAUUGAUACUAGCUCAGCUAAGAUGGUUACCCUUAAUGGGUCAAAUUAUCAAGUAUCGAAAAGAAAAAUGGAAGACAUUGUUUGUAAAUGACUUGCACCUUCCUGUUUUUUCUGAUGAGAAGCCUGACGACAAAACUGAUAAAGAAUGGGAAUUAUGUCAUAGGAAAGUGUGUGGGUUUAUGAGGCUAUGGGUAGAAGAUAACUUUCUAAACCAUAUUUGUGAAGAAACUCAUGCGCGAACUAUGUGGAAUAAACUUGAAUCGCUAUGUGCCCCUAAAACUCGUAAUAAUAAAAUGUUUUUUAUUAAACAGAUGAUGGAGUUAAAGUAUCAAGAUGGAGCGCCUAUGUUAGAUCACUUGAAUACAUUUCAAGGUAUUUUGAAUCAACUAUCUAGAAUGAAUAUCAAGUUUGAGGAUGAGAUACAUGGGUUAUGGGUGCUUGGUACAUUGUCGGACUCGUGGAAAAUAUUUAGAACUUUCUUAUCGAACUCAGCCUCAAAUGGUGUACUAAGUAUGGACCUAGUAAAAAGUAACGUGUUGAACAAGGAGAUGAGAAGAAAGUCUCAAAGUUCUUCUUCACAAUCAGAUGUUAUGGUUACUGAAAAGAGGGGGAGGAGUAAAAGUAAGAGUCCGAGAGGUAAUAACAGAAGCAAAAGCAGGAGUGACCAGUUUGCAAAUGUUGAGUGUCACUAUUGCCAUGAAGAAGGCAUAUAAAGAAGUAUUGUCGAAAAUUGAAAAGAGACAGUAAAAAUCAUAAGGGCAAGGAAAAGAAUAAUGAUGAUGAUAGUGAUGCUGAUACAAUCACUGUAGCCACUGAAGAUUUUUACAUCUUGUUUGAUGGUGAUGUUGUAAAUUUGCGACACAACAUAGCAGUUGGGUGAUUGAUAGUGGUGCAUCAGUUUGUGCUACUUCGAAAAGGGAAUUUUUUGCAUCCUAUACUCCUGGUGAUUUUGGCAGUGUUAGGAUGGGUAAUGACGGAUCAACAAAUAUAGUUGGCAUCGAAGAUGUACACUUGAAGAACAGAAAUGGUUCUAGGCUGAUUUUGAAAAAUGUGAAACAUAUUCCUGAUAUUCGCAUGAACUUGAUUUCUACAGGUAAGCUUGAUGAUGAAGGUUUCUGCAAUACCUUCGACAAUGACAUAUGGAAGCACUAAAGGUUCAAUGGUUAUACCAAAGGGACAAAAAUUUUCUUCACUGUACUACAUGGAUGCAAAAAUCAUGGAGUCUGAUAUAAAUACAGUGAAUGAUGAAGCAAAUGUUGAGCUUUGGCAUAAGAGACUUAGCCAUAUAAGUGAGAAGGGUUUAAAGAUUUUAACCAAGAAAAAUCAUCUUCCUGAUUUAAAGAGUACGCCUCUAAAACGAUGUCUUCAUUGUUUGGCAGGAAAGCAUACGAGAGUUACCUUUAAAUCAUCUCAACAUUUAAGGAAGCCAAAUUUACUAAAGUUAGUACAUUCUGAUGUGUGUGGUCCCAUGAAAACAAAGUCUCUUGGGGUUGCUUUGUAUUUUGUGACAUUUACUGAUGAUCAUUCAAGGAAAAUAUGGGUUUACACCUUGAAGACUAAAGAUCAAGUGUUGCAAGCGUUUAAACAGUUUCAUGCUUUUGUUGAGAGAAAAACUGGUGAAAAGCUCAAGUGUGUUAGAACUGAUAGUGGAUGUGAGUAUUGUGGACCUUUUGAUGAAUAUUGUAGAAAUCAUGACAUUCGACAUCAAAAGGCACCUCCUAAGACCCCGCAGUUAAAUGGAAUUGCUGAAAGAUUGAACAAAACAUUGGUUGAGAGAGUGAGAUGCUUAUUAUCUAAAUCACAGUUGCCACAAUCAUUUUGGGGUGAAGCUUUAAAUACAGUUGUAUAUGUUUUCAAUCUCACACCAUGUGUUCCUUUGGGAUCAGAAGUUCCAAAAAUAAUAUGGUCAGGUAAGGAUAUAUCUUACAGUCACCUACGUGUCUUUGGCUGUAAAGCUUUUGUUCAUGUACCUAAAGAUGAGAGAUCAAAGCUUGAUGCAAAAACCAAAGCAUGUGUGUUUCUUGGUUAUGGCCAAGAUGAGUUUGGUUAUAGAUUAUAUGAUCCAACUAAGAAAAAGCUUAUAAGAAGUCGAGAUGUUGUAUUUGUUGAAGACUAAACAAUAGCAGACAUUGAGAAAAUAGAUGAACCAAAGUCUAAGCAUAGUGAUAAUCUAAUUGAUUUGAGUUCAACCUCUUUGACACAACAUUCUACACAGAUAGAAGAUGAGGUUCAAAAUGAACAGUUUUCUGAUACAUAUGAGAGUUUAAGCAGGUUGGGACAGAGGAUAGUGUUCAAGAACAGUUAGCUGAAACAGUUGUUCCUACAGAUGUUUCGCUCAGGAGAUCUAUCAGAGAUCGACGUCCGUCAACAAGAUAUUCACCUAAUGAAUCUUUGCUAUUGACUGACGGGUGAGAACCUGAGAGUUAUGAAGAGGCUAUAGAGGAUGAGCACAAAAAUGAGUGGAACGAUGCAAUGAAAGAUGAGAUGGAAUCUUUACAUGCAAACCACACCUUUGAGCUUGUUAAGUUGCCUAAAGAAAAAACUGCACUAAAAAAUAAGUGGAUUUACAAAAUUAAACAUGAAGAACAUACCUCAAAGCCACGUUACAAAGCAAGAUUGGUUGUCAAAGGGUUCAGUCAAAAGAAAGGUAUCGACUUUGAUGAAAUUUUUGCUCCAGUUGUCAAGAUGUCCUCCAUACGUGUUGUUCUGGGUUUGGCAGCCAGUCUUGACUUAGAGGUUGAGCAGAUGGAUGUUAAAACUGCUUUUCUUCAUGGGGAUUUAGACAAAGAAAUCUAUAUGGAACAACCAAAGGGUUUUGAGUAGAAAGGAAAAGGGCAUCUGAUGUGUAAAUUGAAGAAAAGUCUCUAUGGAUUGAAACAGGCACCGAGACAGUGGUACAAGAAGUUUAAGUCAGUUAUGGGAGAGAAGGCUAUAGAAAAACUACUUCUGCUCACUGUGUUUUUGUCCAGAAAUUUUAUAAUGAUGAUUUUGUUAUAUUAUUAAUCUACGUUUAUGACAUUUUGAUUGUUGGUAGGAAUGUUUCGAGAAUGGAUAACUUGAAGAAACAAUUGAGCAAAUCAUUUGCCAUGAAGGUUUUGGGACCAGCAAAGAAAGUUCUUGGAAUUCGAAUAGUUUGAGAUAAAGCAUCCAAGAAGUUAUACAUGUCACAGGAGCAAUACAUAGAGAAAGUACUUGAACGUUUCAAGAUGAGUCAAUCAAAAUUAGUUAGUUCUCCUUUACCCAGUCACUUCAAACUGAUCAGUAAACAAAGCCCUUCUACAGAUAAAGUUUAGGGUUUAGGGUUUAGAAAAGGAGGAUAUGAGUAAGGUCCCGUAUGCUUCAGCAGUUGGAAGCCUAAUGUAUGUCAUGGUAUGUACUAGACCUGAUAUUGCUCAUGCUGUUGGAGUUGUUAGUCGUUUUAUGUUCAAUCUAGGAAAACAACGUUGGGAGGCAGUCAAGUGCAUCAUGAGAUAUUUGAGAGGUACUUCCAUUUUGAAGCUCACAUUUGAGGAUGGAAAGCCAGUACUUGCUGGGUAUACUGAUUCAGAUAUGGCAGGGGACUUAGACAGCAGAAAGUCUACUUUUGGUUACUUGAUGACAUUUGCAGGUGGUGCAGUGUCCUGGCAGUCAAGGUUGCAGAAAUGUGUUGCCCUUUCUACAAAGAGAUGUUGUGGAUGAAGUGCUUUGUACAAGAGUUUGACUUCAAGCAACAACACUGUGACAAUCAGAGUGUUAUUCACCUUGGUAAGAAUGCUUCAUUUCAUUCCAGAACAAAGCAUAUUGAUGUGAGAUAUCACUAGCUUAGAGAUGCUUUAAAUGAUGAAUUGUUUGAGCUUGAGAAGAUACACACGGAUCAUAAUGGAUCUAAUAUGUUGACAAAGAAUCUACCAAGUCGAAGCUUGAGUUUUGUCGUUUCACGGUGGGAAUGACAAAUUCAUUCUCAAAGUGAAAUAGGAGGAGAUUUGUUGGGCUUAUUUCACUUGAAGCUCAGCCCAUUAGGUUAAUUUUAUUAUGAAAUUAACUAAUGAACAAUACAAUGAAAAAGAAAAGUAGUGAUGGCAAGAUGGCAAGAUGGUGGGAAAAGAAAGAAACAUAAAAUAAAUGUGGUUCGUAUUUCAGCCUUUUAGAGAUCGAUUCUUGGUCCAAUCAAGCUGAAAUUUUGACCGUGUAUUCUUGGCACGAGGUUCUUCAUUCUGGACGGUGGAGACUUUGUUUGGAGCUAUCUACGGUUAGAUUCUGGUUGAUAGUUGGCUACCACAUAUUGUGAGAUUUUUCAUUUUUUCUUUCAUUGUCAUUGUUGUUUGUUGCCGGGAUUGUUAUUCUCGAGAUACUUGCCUCUAGUUGUGACUAUGGAGAACUUUGUUGUACCCAUUAAAGAUUAUAGUGAAGAUUUUGACUUCGGUCCGUGGUUUUUCACUCCUCACGUUGAGGGGAUUUUUCCACGUGUCCAUAUACUUUUAUUAUUAUUAUUAUUAUUAAUAAUUGAUCCAAGGUGAAGGUGUUUAUCCCAACAAAACGACACAAAAAUAGCUAUAAAACAAAACAAUGAGAGAGUGAAGAUAUAGCAAUAAAAGGACAGUGAUAAAAAAACAACAAAAAUGAUGUAGAUUAAAAAAUGAACCAUACUCUUUUCAAAUUUAAUUUGAACUCUUCAAAAAUUAAGAUAUGGACAUAAUAUCAAAAUCCUAAUUGUUCAUAGAUCAUUCAAAUACAAAACUAAAUGAUUGAAUUAUUAGUUAAAUUUCAUCAUAUCAAUUGGUAAUUAAUGAGAGUUCACAUCCAAGGAACAGUUCAAUCAUUCCCUAUGGCUUCUUUUUAAUCUCUGGACCUAUUGCUAAUGAAAUAAAGAAAAUCCAGAUACAACUUACUAAAUAUUUCUAUUCAAUUCAUUUAGAUGCUACAUUUAUAUAUAUAUAUAUAUAUGAUUCCUUGAUCUAAAUGCAUUGAGGACUGACAUAAAACUCAUACUUGAUGAAUAUUUGGAAUGUUGAUAAGUAAAGAUUCUAAACUCUCCUAGAUUCGUCAUGCAUUAAGGAGUCGAUAAACCUUCACAUUUUAAAGCAUCCAUCAACCAAUGUUGCUCUGAUUAAACUGGACUGGAUUUGUCAAGAGAUCUCCAACACCACUUUGAGCUCUAUUUUGACAAUCUAUGGAGGGUGGUGGAUGCAUUGGAUCACUCUACUCUUGACUCCAGUUCUAUGUCUAAAUCAGCUCCCACAUCAACUUGCCCAGUUUCUCAGUGUCUACCAUACCGUGAAGGACUACGAUUGUUUUGUUGUGUAACAUUAUGCCUAAACUGUGGUCUUGGGAUGACCUUUCCAUCAAUAAACAAAUCACCUGAAAUUAACAUGAAUGAUUCAUACAAGCAAAACGAGCAUUUGACUUGAGAUAACAACUGAUUUCAAUUUAUAUCAAUUUGAUCAAGUUGAAAUGGGAUCACCUCCGUAAUCUUUGUUCGGAACAUCUUGAUAUGAAUCUGGAAAAACCCAUCGAACACCUGGCAAUUCUGUUUCAUACGGAAUGAAAAAGCUCAAAUCAGUUGCCAAUUCUAUAUUUUACAUAAGCUAAAGCGAAAUUAUCAAUAACUAACGAAAAUCACAAAUGUGAAACCUUCACAGUUGUAACACAAGAACAUUCAAACUAAAACCAGGUCAAUUCUGAAGCAAACUUGGAAAUAGAAAGAAAAAGAUCACAAGCCAUUCAAAUAUUAUCUAGGAAGUUGCAUCAAACGAAUUGCGUGGUUGAGCUAAAAAAGUACUCUUUCUAUCUUUAAAUUUAAUCCAAACACUAGCUAGUAGACACAUUUCCAAUAUCUAUAAGAUGAAAAAAAAAUUGAUUCACAUCACAAGACUCAUUAGUGUUGUCAAACAUUCAUGGUGGUAACACACAUAUUAUCAAACAAAAACUCAAGUCCAUUCUACAGCAAACUUCAAAAUAAUUGGGAAAAUUUCUUAGCGCUGUAUUGGGUUUUGAAAACUAAGUUUAUAAACGGUAUCAUUCUUUGUUUGCUAUCUACUUUUAAUAGUGUUUUCAAAAUGCAUAGUUUUGGCAACUAAUUAAAGUAGUUUCUUAAAAUACUUGUUCUACGUUUUAGAAUUUGGCUGAAAAUUCAAAUUCAAAUGGUAACCAUGGUAGUAAAAACAAACAUAACUUCAAAAAACAAAAUGGUUACGAAAUGGAUGCUUUUAUCUUGUUUUGUGAGAACUUUCAUCAAACACACUGCACGCUUGAGCUCAAAAGUACACUUUGAAUGUUCACAUUUAAUCCAAAUAAUCAACACAAUGCAAUAGAUACAUGAUGAAUCAAGGUUACUUAUUCUAAUCACAACACGAAUAAGCAAAAAAACAAUGAAGUAUUACCUUUCAUUUUCCGAGAAAGCUCUUCCGAAAUCAAUGCACCAAAUCCAGUAUACGUGGUAGUACAAACUGAGUAUAUUUUCUCCUUCGCCUCUUCCUCACUGAAAAAUCAGAAGAAAGCAAAAAUCCUAAAAUAACUAAAGAAUAAAAUCCGUGUUAAAACGAUUUGUCUUCAAUCCGAUACCUUCCGACAACAGCGGCCAGAGUUUUGACAUAAGAAUUAACCAUCUCUUCCUCCGAUGGUUUCGGGUCAUUAGGAAAAUCCAGCACUAUCAGCCAGUGCUCGUAAUCGCAGCCAUCGUAGGGUAUUGAAUCUUUUGGAGGUCGCUUGCUCGAAUUAGGAGAAGGAUCGUUGAGUAGAGAGGAUUCGGAUUCCGAAGCCUUGCAUCGAAUAGGAAGAUUAAAUGAAUUAGGGGUUAUUUGAACCUGUCUGUUGAGGAGAGGAAAAGCGAAACGCAGGCGAGAAGAAAUAGGAGAUGGAAGUAAGAAGGAAGAAGAAGAUGAUGAAGAUGAAGAGAGGCUUCGGCUAAGAACAGUGAAUAAUGUGCGCCGAGUGGCUGAGGACGCCAUUGUUGAAAGCAGUAGGGUCUCUGAUGAGUUGGGAUUUAAGAGAGGUCUGGGAAAAUGAAGGAAAGUACACUAUACGUCGUCGUUUUCGACAUAUAAAACUGUUCUUCUCUUACAAAAUCUCUCUCAAUUUUCAAAAUAAAAACGUUCAUAUUCGUUAAUUCAAGAUAUUUACACAAAUUUAAAGUUACAAAAAUAUUUUUAAAAUGUAAAAAGGGAAUUUAGAAUUAAUUUUGGAUCUACUAAAUCAUGAAAUUAUUCAUUUUGAAAAAUGGUAAUAUAAAAAAAUGUAUAGAGAGUAAAAAGUUAUUCUACUAUAAAGCAAAUUAUUGAGAUAAAAGUUUGCUAACCAUUAAAAUUCCAAGGGAUAAAUGCUUCUUUGUUUUGUUCAGUAAAACACUACUUUCCUUUAAAAGCUUUUAAAUUCUAUCAUCUGAAGCCAUGGUCCAAAAAUUUGACAAGUCAAAAAUAAAUUAUAAAGUUUAUCACUAAUAAAUUUUUAGCAAAAAGUCCGCCCAAUUUCUUAAGUUCCUGCUUUCAGAACAACCCGAAAGUGAAGAUGGCGAAGAUUCAGAAUCGAACCAUAAUUUUUUCAAAUUUAUAGUUUGAAUCAUUAAAAAAUUCAGAUAUUGUCACAACAUCACUAACUUAGAAUCUUUAAAAUCAAAGUCCCCAGAAUUCAUAGAUCAUAUAAACUAAAAAAUAUAUAUACACAUUUUUUAAAAAGCAUCCAUCAAUCAGUGUUGCUCCGAUUAAACUCGCCUGGAUUUGUCGAGAAAUCUCCAAUACCACUUUGAACUCUAUUUUGACCAUCCAUGGAGGGUGGUGGCUGCAUUGGAUCACUCUGAUUUUGACCCCAGUUCUGUCUCUGAAUCGGUUGUCUCCGAUCAACUUGCAUAGUUUCUCGCCGUCUAUCAUACCGUGGACGAGGCCUGUUUCUACCAGGUUGUUGUGGCCUAUCAUGGUACCUAUAUUGCGGUCUUGGGAUGACCUUUCCAUCAAUAAACAAGUCACCUGAAAUUAACACAAAUGAUUCAUAAAAGCAAAAUAAGCAUCUGACUUCAGAUAUCAAGGCGUUUCAAUGUAUAUCAAUUCAAUCGAGUUAAAGGCGCAAUCACCUCCGUAAUCUUUGUUCGGAACGUCAAGAUAUGAAUCUGGUAAAACCCAUAGAACACCUGGCAAUUCUGUUUCAUCCAGAAUGAAAAGCUUAGAUCAGAUGCCAAUUCUAUAUACAAAGGCUAAAGCAAAAGUAUCAAUCAAUAACACAAAUCAUAAAUGACAAACCUUCACAGUUGUAAAACAAAAAUGACCAAACUAAAAUCGGGUUGAUUCUGAAGAAAACUUGAAAAUAGAAAGGAAAAAUCCUAAGCAAUUCAAAUAUUAUCUAGGAAGCUUCAUAAAAAGCAUCACGUUCUUGAGCUAAAUAAGCACUCUUUCACUCUUCAAUUUUAAUCCAAAAAACUAAACACAGAUUUGAUUCAUAUCACAAGACUCGUUAAUUUUGUUGUUUACAAAAGGCUGCUUUAUACAACAAAGUACAAAGGAUCACAACAUAAUACAAAUGCCAAGCCUUCAUGGUGGUAAUACAGAUAUUAUCAAACUAAAACUCGAGUCAAUAUACAGCAAACUUCAAAAUAGAUGGGAAAAUUUCUUAGGCCUCCAUUUGGGUUUUGAAAUUAAGCUUAUAAACACUACUUCUACUUAUUGUUGUCUUUUUUGCUAUCUAAUUCUUAGUGGUGUUUUCAAAAUACGUAGUUUUGGUGACUAAUUGGAGUAGUUUCUUAAAAGACUUGCACUUCAUUUUAGACUUUGGCUGAGAAUUCAAACUCAAAUGGUAACCAUGGUAAAGAAAUGGUAGGAAGAGAAUGAUAAUCUAAGAAAUGCAGACAUGACACUUAGACACUCCCAUAUCGAACACUUGUUAGUGAGCCAAAAUGUGUUAGACAUGCAUAAAAUACAUAUGGAGCAGAGUAAAAGAACACAGAUUUAUGACAAUAAUACUAAAAACACACACACAUGUAUGCAUAAAACACUCGUUGAGCAUACAUAGAACUAAUUUCUAUCUUUUAAGCAUGUAAUGCAUUAACCUUGUUAUGGCAUGCCCUAGACUUUUAAGAAAUGACUUAUUGCCAUGUAUCCAUGUCUUGUAUCCCUAUUAGUGCUUUUCGAAACAUAAUUUUCAAAAACUAAAUGAAUGAAUUCGUUUUAUCUAAUUUUUUAGAACUUUGAUCAAACACAUUGAGUGCUUGAGCUGCUCAAAACUACACUUUCAAUCUUCAAUUGUAGUCCAAAUACUCAACACAAUUCCAAUAUCUACAACGAGAAUAAAUCAGAUUCCCAAGGCUCCUCAAUCUAAUCAUAACACGAAUAAGCCAUGAAACUAUUACCUUUCACUUUGUAAGAAAGCUCUUCCGAAAUCAAUGCACCAAACCCAGUAUACGUAGUUGUACUAACCGAGUAUAUUUUCUUCUUCGCCUCUUCCUCACUGAAAAUCAGAAAAAAAACGAAAACCCUAAAAUAACUAAAGAACAAAAGCCGUUUUAUAAUAAUUUGUUUUCAAUCCGAUACCUUCCAACAACAGCAGCUAGAGUUUUGACAUAAGUAUUAACCAUCUCUUCCUCCGAUGGUUUCGGGUCAUUAGGAAACUCCAGCACUAUCAGCCAGUGCUCGUAAUCGCAGCCAUCGAGAAGUAUCGUCUCUUUCGGAGGUCGAUUGCUCCAAUUAGGAGACGGGUCGUUGAGUGGAGAGUAGCCGGAUCCGGAAGCCUUGAAUCGAAUUGGAAGAUUGAAUGAUGCAGGGAUUAUUUGAUCCUGUCUGUUGAGGAGAGGAAAAGCAAAUCGCAGGCGAGAAGAAAUAGGAGGAGAUGGAAGUAAAAAGGAAGAAGAAGAUGAUGAAGAUGAAGAAAUGCUUCGGCUAAGAACAGUGAAUAACGUGCGCCGAGUAGCUGAGGACGCCAUUGUUGAGAGCUUGACGGUAGCUGAAUGAGACAGUAGGGUUUUUGGUCGAUGAGAUUUUAGAGAGGUUUGGGGAAAUGAAGGACGGUACAGUAUACGGCGACGUUUUAGGAAUAUAAACAAAAAAAAAUAUAGAUUUAGACCAUCAAUAGUCUAUUAACUACGUGAUUAUAUCAACUUAAAUUGUAAAUUUAGCAAUUAGAUUUAAAAUAAUUAAAGAUAUAGCAACAUUUUAAAAAAUUUGCAAACAUAGCAAAAUUUGACAAAUUCUGUCAAUGAUAUGAGUCUAUCAACGAUAGACCAUGUUGCAAAUAUUGGUCUAUCACUGAUAGAUUAUAGGAAGUGUAUCAGCGAUGUUAUAUUUGUAAUUUUUUUAAAAUUUUGCUAUAUCCUUAAUUAAAAUGAUUAUUCAUUCCAAUUUUGUAUUAUUUUUUAGUAAAAUAAUUUUUUUAAAAAAAUUAUAUAAGAGUGAGUGAGAUUAUAGGAAUUGUUUAAUUAUAUUUAUAGACACUGAACUUGUUACAUAUAUUAUAUAUUAUUAGAUGAAAAUUGCAUACGAGGACAAAAACAUUUAUAAAAAUAUAUAGUCUAUAACACCUAUUUUUAUCAUAUUAGGAAUAUGAAAAAAUUAGUGAUAUUAAAUAGUUAUAGAGUUAUCCAUUUUUAAAUUUACAAUUUAAAAAAUGCAUGACAUGAGUUUAUUAUCAUAAUUUUUUGUUGCUACUUUUUCAAGUGUCCCCUUUUCAAAUAUUCGAUUUGUCUUGCAAACUAAAUCGUCUUCAACCUCGAACCAACAUUGGUUUCUUAAAAAAUGGACUAUUUUGAUGCUUUAAUGUUCAUUUACACUUGUUAACUUUUACGACUUCUCUUUUAAACAAAACCUCGAAGAGCUCAACUUUUAUAAUUGCAAACCGUAAUUAUAGCACCAAAUUUGAAGAAUGUUACUGCAAUUUGCUUUUAAAAAUUGAAGUAAAAAAAAAACUGAUUUGCUUUAUAACUCUGUAGAGAGAGGAUUUCAUAACGAGUAGUUCAAAACAUGCAUAAUUUUUUAUAAUACUGAAGAGCCCAAGAAACAACAUAACCAAAGCUAUAGUUAAGUACUCAUACAUAUACUUUAUACAUACAUACAUACAUAUAUAUAUAGUGCAGUUAAAUAUAUACUCAACUGCAGGCUCGUAGUUACCUAAAUUUGUUUAUUUAUGUAUUACAAGCAUCCAUCCCUUUACUUUUAGAUCAGAAAAGCAAAGCUAUUUCCGUUUUGCAUACGAACGCCAAGUUGUUAUCACGAUCCCGCCGCGGGUUUUGGCCAAAUGAUCAGAAGUCACCACUGCCCCCUGUUUCUCUUUCGUCUUCGAAGGUGGUUGCUCGGCCACCUUACGCGGUGGCUGCAUCUGAGCUGGCCUCAUCUCCGUUGCCGCCACUACCCUUCUACCGCCCGUUGUCGAGGCUCGACCGAAGAAUUUGUCAAUCAGUUUGAAUCCUUCAAUCCCAAUCCGCGCCAGGUUAGCAUCAGUAUCUAUAAUUUCUCUCUCUCUCCUACCCAUAAUUCCCGAAGAUUAAGAAAAAAAAAGGAAUUUGUUUUGGAAUGGGUUGUGAAGCUUCGUUUGGUUUUUGGUGCAUUAUAUAGUAGUUUUGGUGGCCCCCAUAGCAGUAAUUUAAAAAUGGUAAUAAAAGAAUUAGGCCGAGGAAUGAACUCUUGAUGGGAAUUUGAUUGAAUUUCUUUAUAAUAACAAUGUUUCUUUUUUCUCUUUUUCAAAAGUGAUUUAGGGUUGGAAGAAAUCAAUUAAAUGUUUUAAGCUUUCAUAACCUAUUAAUUUAUCCAUUUAUUAGACUUCGUUAAAAAUUGUAUAUUAAUUUAGACAUUUCAAUUAAUUGAUAAAAUUGUAAGUUUUUUAAAGUAAAAUACAGAGAGUUUGAAAUGAUUAAAAUUAUAAUGCGAUAUUUAUAUUUAAGCAUGGUGAUUGAAAUGAAUAUUAUGUUAGGCAUUAUAAAAUUAGUCAUAUAUAUGGGGAAAGGGAUUGGGAAUAUUUAGGGGUAACUUUUAGCUGUUUUUAAAGAUUAAUUAAGUUAUUAAAAACUGAUUUUUAGAGGAAUGAUUAAUAAUUUAUUACAACAACGUAACAUAGCAUUAAACUUGUUUUAUAAUAAACACUAAAAAGGGUGUUCAAAAGGAAUUUUGCAAAUUGUUCUAAAGGAAGAUAAAGAUACUUUUAGAUUGUAAAAAAAAAUGAUUAAAGAAACAAUUAGGAUUAAGAUUAGGAAGAUAUUUGGUUUGUUAGAGAGUAAAAUAAUGGAUUUUAAUUUCGUUAAAGGGAUUAGGAAUAUUUGGGGGUGACUUUCUAGGGAUGUUAUUUGUUUUAUUUUUUUAUAAUAUAAAAUAUAGUUUUGGAGCACUUAAGAUAUAUAUAUACACAGAGGAGUAUUUUAAAAAAUAGAAGCAACAUAUUUAGAAAAUGAAAAAAGUCACAUGUCCAAAAAAAUUCUCAAAAUGCUUAAAUUUAGUUUUUUUUUUUCUUUAUUAGAUUAUUAGAUGAUCAUUUAAAUUUUGUUGUCAUGUAGAGAGAGAAUUUCAGGGCGAGAGUAGUUCAAAACAAACAUAAGAUUUUUGUCACGAUAUUUUAUAUUUGUCACACAAUUUAAACAACCACAUAACAUUUUUUUAAAAAAAUAGAUAUUGUAUAUUUGGUACACAAUUUUUAACCAAAUAAUUGUUUGAAAAAAAUUAAUUACAGAAAAAUAGAAAAUGACCAUUGAAAGAAGAAGAAAAAAGACUGCAGAGGAGAAGAAAGACGAUGAAAAGUAAAAAUAUUGUCGAAGAUCAUAAGGAAUAGAGAAUAGAUGAAAAAUAUAUAAAACAUGACAUGAAUAAAUCGAAAAGAAGAUGAAAAAAUCGGAAAGAAGAGAAAAAUCAAAAUUGAAAAAUCGUUAUAAACUAGUAAGGGCAAAUGUGAAAUUUUGAAAAAGAAAAAUUAGCAUUAAUAGGUUUUUCUUAAAUUGUUAUAUAAGAUAUAAAUAUUUGGUCGUUUUAUUCUAUUUAUGAAAAUUAACUAUAUAUAUAUAUAUACAUUUUGCUAAAUUAUAUAUGUUUUAAACAUAUAAGUCGAAAUAAACAUAACUCAAUUAUUUGAUUUAUAACCUAAGUUAAUCUUGAUUGUGGAGCUUUAUCGGCCCGAUAAACUCAAGUUGUAGACUUCCACCUAUAGACAGAAAAACCCAACUUUUAUAAAUGUAAGUUUUUGUGCCAAUGAUUGAUUAGAUUAUCAAAUAAUUAUAAAAUAGAACGGGAAAAAAUCUUGAUAAACCUUUUCUAUAAAUACAUCAUUAUAACCUAAAUCUUAGCUUUAACGUACUCUCACUUUUCAACUUAAGCAUUGGAAUAUGUAUGACAAUUACUGUAUGUGCAUUUCAAUUUAAUUAGUACUUCAUUAAUAAAUGUCACAAUUUUUCGAUUAAGACAACAAAUUUUAUUUAAAUUUAAUUUUUAAGAUUCACGAUAUUUUGUUUUUCUUUUAUUAAAUACUCAGGUGUUUAAGACUUAUUAAUUAAAUUAAAAUGAUUAUGAAAUUUGGAAUUGUAAACUUCAAUUAUAAUAGUACGAUAAAUCAUAAAAUUCAAUGUUAUAAGUUCCAUUAAUUUUUAAAACAUUUUGAUAUAUGUAUAAAAACUAAAUUGAAAUUAUUAUCAAACAGAUUCUAAAUUAAUAAUUUUUUAAGGGGUUUAUAGAAAAAGAAAAAAAGCAGUGUGGAAUUGAAGUUUCGUAGUGAGUAGAAAAAAAAGGUGAGUCUUCCAUUCAAUGUUCAAAUUGGGUCGGCAAAGGUUCGUUCUUUUUGUCUCUUUUUUCUCAAAGGAAUAAUAAUCCUUUUGGUGUUUAAAGACGUCAUAGUGGUGACGACCACACUCAUUUUGCUCUCUAUUUUCUAGAUUUUCCACCAUAUAUUUAGUUAUAUCAUUUUAUUUUUUAUUAUCUCUCACUUACUUUCAACUCAUUUCUAUAGAUCUACUGUCUGUCAUCUUUAAUGAUAUAUGUCGUUCGCUAUGUAUGUUCAUCGCGAUCUUUGUUCAGAUCCACGAUCCAACGUUCCGUCCAUAAUAUGAAUAUGUUAGAAUUGCACAAGAAGUUUUGUUUAAAGAAAAGCACCUUGACAUCCAAUCUUGCUAAACAAUUUGACGUUGUUCUUGUGAGCAUUGAUCCACCCAAUAGAGCAUCAAACACUUUUUGUAAGAAUUGUAAGCUCCCUGGUCAUAAAUUUAUUGAUUGUCCUAAAAUAAAGAUUCCUUCAUAUAUGAAAACUAAAAAAAAUACAGUUAAGAAAAGAAUAUACAGAAUAAUAUCGAUUAAAGAUACUCUAAAUGUCCAAUAAUAUAUUUGGUUAAUU
rnacentral:lncRNA from 1 species